CCUUCCCGUCUGGCACCUCAGUUGCUCCGGAGGCGAUCCCACGGUGGAGACCCGGGGGUAGACCUCGCGGACCGCCUAGGGGGCGCCCGGCCGGGACUGCGAGCGCGGCGGUAGAAUGACGCAGAUGACGCCAGAGAUGACACCAGGCCGCCAGCCCGCGUCGGCCGCACUCCCGCCCCGCCCGCGCAGGUCGCCGGUGCGCUCGGCACCGCUGCUGUCCCCGGGGACGCGCCCCGCCUCCUGCGUUCCGCCCUUCCCCGCGCCGCGCCCCGGUUCCCACGGCGCCGGGCACAGCGAAGCAGCUUUUCUGCCCUCCCCACGAGCAGCCCGGCAGGCCGCGCGAACAUGGCGCUUGUCCCCUGCCAGGUGCUGAGGGUAGCCAUCCUGCUGUCCUAUUGCUCCAUCCUGUGUAACUACAAGGCCAUCGAAAUGCCCUCGCAUCAGACCUACGGGGGGAGCUGGAAAUUCCUGACCUUCAUUGAUCUGGUUAUCCAGGCUGUAUUCUUCGGCAUCUGUGUGCUGACUGAUCUCUCCAGUCUUCUGACCAGAGGCAGCGGGAACCAGGAGCAAGAACGACAGCUCAGGAAGCUCAUUUCUCUCCGGGACUGGACGCUGGCUGUGUUGGCCUUUCCUGUCGGGGUUGUGAGUAUGAUGCGGGAUGUACUGGGGGUUGCGAGUAUGGUGCGGGAUGUACUUAGCACGGAAGAAAUGUGGGUCCUACUUCAGACUUGGUGCUUGUUUGUUUGUUUGCUUAAUGAGGGCUCUUUAUAGAAGAGGUCUUCCUUUAGCUGGUACUUGGGACAGACCCCAGGACCUCAGGGCUCGCCAUCACUGAGCUACAUGAUGCCCAAGGUUUCUGUGUUUGUUUUCUAAUGCUGCCAACACUACAGAAAUUUUAUUUUCUCAUGGAUUGGAUGGUUUCUUUUGAAGCCCGUGUCUCUGGUUUCAACAAGGCUGCCUUUAUACUGUUAUAUUCUCUUCCCCUGGGCCAGUCUGCAUCUCGGUUCCCUCUUCCUACUGAGAGAGUCACUAUAUCAGUCAACAUUCUCUAACAGACGCAUUUAACGUCACCUACCUCUUUAGUGCCCAAAUGUCAUGUCGUGAGUUUUUAGGGGAUAUAACCUUUGUUCAGGGAUUUACCAUGCACACUUGAGGCCUACAAUCAAACCCCGGGGACCCAUGUUAGAAAACAAAACAAACAAAUAAUAAAAACCAAACCAAACCAACCAAAACCGAACCGUGUGUGGUGGUUUGCACUUGUAACCUUCGUGCAGUGGAGGAAGAGACAUGGAGAUCUCUGAGCCUACUCAUCCAGCCACAAUAUCAGACCAGUAAGAGACCCAGUAUGGCUUCUGAGGCACAGUACCGGAGACUGUAUGCUGGCUUCCACAUGCAUGGGCACGUAUACAAACACGCAUGUACCGCGUGUACUUAGACACACUAUGUGCAUGUGCACAUGCCCACACCCAUGUAUGGGUUUGCAGAGCACAGGGUUCGGCCCCUCACAUUUUUCUGAGCAGCCUGAACUUAAUAAUUGCUUGUUGGGUCAACUGAUUUAGCACUUUGGACUUAAGAGGAAAUCAGCAUCGGGUAACAGUUUACUUACCUAACAGCACCAUUAGCGAGUGUUACUUUAAAAAUGACACUCGAUGUUUGGUCUGUCUGGCUUCAUUGAUUUUUCUGUUUUCAGCUAGGUUCCCUCCACAGUUCAGCCUCCCGCACAAGUCUGCUAAUUUUCCGUUGUCUGCACAGAAACCAUGUUUCUUUAAAGGCCCCAUGAGACGCCGUAGAUUUUUAAGCUGUGGGUAGCCAGAAAAAUGAGGAAAUUUUUGUGCAUCUGAGAUUGAGAAAGUAUCUUAUGUAAUGCGAUUUGAGAAUUUUCAGUCGUUGCCUGAUUCUGGGACAGACAGAAGCUCCGGGGACGUGGCUAGCAUAGUACUGAGUCCAAGUUCACCAUGAGAAGAGUCAGAAGGUUCUUUAAAUCCUGCUGCUGGUUCUUUUCCGCAUUUGCCAAGUCUGGGUUGGCAGAGACCUCCCAGUUCUUAGCGCUGAGUUGCCAUUUUCUGUGUGCUGAAUUGUAUUUUCAUGGAUGAAGUAGAUCUGAGUUCCUGAGCCUAACACAAGGACCAGAAAAACCUUAGAAUCCAAUCAUAAGCCUGCUCAUUCCCUUGUCUCUUUCUUCUGAAGAUCUCAGAGCAUAAAUAUUCAGGUAGAAGCUGUCUGGGAAAUCUCUCAAAAUCUCCUGCUUAAAUGUUUUGCAAUUAUAUGUAUAUUGCAAACACACACUAUUAUUAUGAUGAUGAUGAUGAGUAUAUAAUUGCAAAUAUAUUAUUGCAUAUAUAUUUUUAUUUUUGCCUUUAUUCAAUUAAAAUACUGAGCCAGGAUACUAACACACACUUAGAAUCAAUCACAGCCCUCUGGAGGCUGAGGCAGGAGGAUUGUUGAUUUAAGCCGCCCUUGGCUGCAUAGUGAAAUCUUGUCUCCGUAGGUAAAUUCAUCUACCUUCUAUGAAUCAGGUGAGAGAAAAAUCCCAACAGCAUGAAGUGUAAAGACGUGUACUUUCUGUACAAAAGAAUCAUAUCUUGAAACCCAGGUGUCAGUGUGUGGAAAUAUCUCUGUGAUUCAGAGGGGAGAGGUGUACUACUUUUCACCCCCACCAUCUGCAUUUAACUGAUGCCACACAGUACACCUUCCGAGCUUGUCCAGAUCCCUCUCCUGUCGGUAAGCUCCUGACAGCAGGCCUUGUCUUUUCCGUGUGCCUCAGUGCCCGCCGUGCUUCUCAGGAAGUGACCAGAGCUGUGCAGAUUCACAGUAGAGGCAGUAAUACAUCAGGUGUGCAGGGUCAACAUUUAUGUGGCUCUCUUCUCCUGGUGUGGCCGCCAUUGUCACUAUUUCUAGUUUUUCCAAGCUUGCUGCUCAGCCAUUUCCCACUUUCCAUGUUGUCCCUAAAUUUUUAAGUUGCCUUCUAUUUGUUUCGUUCUUUCCCCUCCCCGUCCCCUCAUAUCUCCCCAUGUUGAUAAAGUCUUUGUGGGUAUUCUCUAUAAUCAACAUGGUUCUCACUCUUUCUCCUCUCUCCACAGUUCUGACUUUGCAUCCAUCCAGCCAGGUCCCACCACACUCCUCGCUCUAAUGCAGAAAAGAAUAAUUUUGAGUCAGAGAGAGAGAGAGAGAGAGAGAGAGAGAGAGAGAGAGAGAGAGAGAACAAACCUCUCAGACUUAUUUUAUUGCAAGGUUUAUUUAUUGGUGAUAGGAAUUUAAAGCUAUAAGCAUUUUAACUCAAAAGAACUCUUUACCCAAACAUUUACUUUGUCAUUUACUCUCACCUUUCUCUUCCUCAGGUAACUUCCCUUCAGUUUUCAGUGUCCCUGUGCAUUUGCAAAGAGAUUCCCAAAUCCCUCUCUUACCUUUCUCCUUGUCUCUCAUCUCUGCCGAAGGGUCUAGAACCCCACUGUAGCUGUCUUUCCAUUAUAAAGCCCGUGCUCAAUGUACUUUUCUUCAUGCAGCAAUGCUCUGAGAAGUCCUGGGGAGAGGCACAUCACUCUCCUGGAGGUUCAUGGCCAAGAGGACGUUGCCUCACCUGGAGAGGAUGACUUGACUGCAGAAGGAUGAGCUUAGCAUUAGUGCCUAGCAUCCAGUGGGCACACAGUUAUAAUGCCCGCCUAGCAUCCAGUGGGCACACAGUUAAAAUGCCCACCUAACAUUCAAUGGGCACACAGUUAUAAUGCCCGAAGCAGUCUGUAGUCUAAGAAUGCUUUUCAGGUCAUGCGAUUAAGGUUAGCAUGUGAAGCAAGAGCGUUUACCAUCUUGAUUGGACCUCGAAGGCGAAACAUCCUGGUAUCGUCUCCAUGUCAGGGGUGCACUGCCCUGCUUUGAGCCUCCUAAGGUAGAAGGUGCACAGGCUGGGCUUUGAACCUCCUGUGGUCCUCAGAGGUGUCCCCGGCUCCAUUUCUCUGGUUAAAGGGUGACUGCCAACCUCACAAACUUGUCCCUGCUGUUUUGUACUGGUCUCCUGUGUCACUCUCUCUUGGUCACUCUGUCAUUGGGAAGGCUUCAUGCUUUAGGCACAGAACAUAAAAACAGAACAGUAGAAUGCAUCGCCUCUGCUCAAACUAUUCUUGGCCAGAGUCUGUCUGUCUGUCUGUCUGUCUGUCUGUCUGUCUGUCUCUCCUGCCCCAAAGCAGCAGGAAAGACACUCAUAAGCAAUCUAGGAUUGGUAGAUUUUUUUUUUACUUUAGUCAUUCCUCAAGGGACAAGAUUAAUUGUGAACUGACAGUAAUUGCUUGAUUUGAGCAUGGGAUAAUGAAAAAGAUUUGGAGAAAGUUGGACCUUACACAGGAAUCUUCAUGGUCCCUUUUACCCCAAGGGUCUAUAAAAACAGCGAAACAUCCCAAUCACAGAUAAUUAAAAUCUACUUUUGAUUCACUGUGUCUUGGAGGACCAGGCAGGGUGGCUUCCCGAACAUAACAUGUAUCAACCAUUGUAGUAUCGGUUCCCAUAAAAAGCAAAGCUGGUCUUGAUCAGUGACAUUAAUGGCCUGGCACCCCCUAUCCCCCGAGUCUUGCAGCUCAUUUUGUAGGGAUAAUUCUUGGGAGACUGUUCUUACCAUGAGCAGCUUAUUUCUCAACUCUAUCACCCUUUCAGAGAAUUGUUACAAAUAACUCCGUGAUAUUAUGUGGUCUGGAAGCACUAAAGUUUCUUAGGAGCAGUCCAGGGAAGACCAUUUUGUCUCCCAUGAGCUCACUGAUGCUUGAGCCAGCAGAUCCCAUUUUAGUUAAGAAAGUAGGCAUACCUGUUUAACUAAAGCAUUUGAAAAUGCCCCUCUCAGAAAUCCGAAGUGUGUCUCUGGCUGCCGUCCGCUUCCAUUCAUUCAAGCCCAUGCAACCCUAUUCAUCUUCGGCUGCUGGGCUUGAAUAGCACCCAUAAUCAAAUCUUACCACGGCACCAGUAUAUCUUUGUCCUGGUGCUGACCUGGGUUGCUCCAGUCCAGAUGCUGCUCUAACCAUUCCAAUGUGAAGUAAAUAUCCCCCAAGGGAUGGGUCUGUGGAAGCCCCAGAGGUUUGGAUGGGCAUCUGGGUGUCGGUGCAUAAAUGAACAUCAUUGCAAACUCCAAGGAAAAAACUACAUUGUAAUUCCCAAGAGUCCUUAUUAUAGUACCUAAUCUAAGCUAUUUCUAAAGUUUUGGAGGUAUGUGUAAGUUUGGAUUGCUAUACUCCUAUAGUUUAAGAAACAAGAAACAUUGUUUCCUUGUUGACUUCGAUGGGGAAAAUACAUGUAAGUGUUAGUUUCUAAUUAGUAUUAAUUGCUGUGAAUUUUUUAAAAGUCUUUAUUAUGGUAUUUAUUUCGUGUGUGCAUGUGUGUGCGCGCGCGCGCGUGUGUGUACAUACGUGGGGAGCAUGCCAGAGUUUAUGGAGAUCAGAGGAUAACUUUUCCAGAAUUGAGUCUUUCCUUCUGCCAUGUGGCUCUCAUCGAUACAACUCAGGUUGUCUCGCUGAGCAGUAAGUGCCUUUAGGGGGUGAGCCCGCUUUUAAUUACUAGUUCUAAUAUAUGUUAAUCUAACACACAAUGGAAAUUAAUUUGAUUCUAGUUGAGAUUACAACCAAAACCAAAUAUGUUUCCUUCUUCUUUGAAACCUAGAGGGAAAUAAUUUCUGACACUGCUGAAAGGAUGUUUAAUCUAUUCUGUAAAUUCUGAAUUUAACUUUAACGUACACUUAAUACGUUUUCAUUUAAGUACCUAAAAUCAAACCGUUCUCUAGUUUCUUCAAGCCUUAGCUGGUAUCUCUCGUUCAUGUAAAUCUUCCUUUUUGCCUCUGAGAUUAAAAUGAAAGCAUCAGUCAAUUAAUAGCUCGUUGUAAAACCUAGUUUGCAGCAGUGGGCAAAGGUGUUUGCUGCACAGCCUGGUAGCCUGAGUUCGAUCCCUGGGAUCCAUUGUGGAAGGAGAAAACUGACUUCCAAAAGCGGUCCUCUGGCUUCUCUUGGUCCAUGCCACAAAUGCCUAUACAUGUAUGUGUCCUCUCCACAGUAAGUAAAUAUAUUAACCAAAACCUUGUCCGCUUCCUGUUGAGUUAAUCAGAUGCUUUCUCCUUCACAGGAACAAACUGUUGGGUUUAAUUUUCCAGUAGUAGAGGUUCAUAGGUGAAGAGCCCUUUAAAAUCAAGUAGACAAGAUUAUCUGUUAUGAUCUAUCGCAAUAUAAAUUUGAGUGCAAGAUCUCACUGCAGUAAGACGUUUGAAUUCCACAUUAGCAUGUGCACAGAAGUGGACCGUAAGCAGCCUUGUGUCUAAGGUGGUUCUGGAAGACUUCUCAGAAGCACUGACUUUUGAGCUCCGUUUUGAGAGAUGGGUGCUGGGAAUCCAGUCCUCUGAAAAAAAACAUCGAGUGCUCUCUAAUUUUUAGAGAAUGACCACACUUUUUAUGCUGGGUCUUACCUGAUUCACACAUAGAUGCCAACACACGUCCUAGGAGUGUGGGCUGCCUUGGUAAGACUUGUGCCACAUUGGGACAAAGGGGACCGUCCCUGCAGUCCCACUUGGUUUCUUUGCUUUUCUGUGUAUUGUUCACACGGUGGGGAUGGUGAAGGACUAUGAAAUAAGAAUCUUGAAUGUAAACUAAUGGUAUGCCCAAAGGGUGAAGGCAUGAAUGAGAAGGAGUUGUCAUAUUGGCACGUGAGCCUAAGGAGCGUUCCCUCUCCCUGUUGUUUGUCUUAGGAAUCCACUAUGAAAUAAAAUGAAUGCUUUCACACAGGUGCAGAUGACUAGACAGAAACAAGUGUCAUUGUUCCUCUGUCCAGGGAAUAAAAUGAGUGAGCAAGUGCCCAGGGGAACACUGUCACAGUAGAAAAAAAAAAAUCAGUAUUGAAUCAACAAAGGAAAACAGCCUCCAGGUGUACCUACACAGUUAAUGUUUAUGUCUGAAUAUCCAGAAGUGCUAACUGCGGCCUUGCCCCGCCCCCCUAUUAUCUUGGGGUUUUGAGAAUACAUCUUGUACCCAGGGGCCUUUGCUGUUGCCUCUGGUUUUAGCCUAGCCUGUAAACAAGCAAUUCCACUUGGGCUUCCCAGAGUUCUCACCACCUUCCCUCCCUGGAUGGUAUAACCCAAGAGCUAGGUCCUGUCUUCUAACCCGUGUUCCCUUUAGUUCAGGUCCAAUGCUCAUGAGGGCUUUGUUCAGUGAGCUCUUCCAGCUCUUAAGGAUGAGCUCCCAACAUUCUCACCAUUUCCCCCCGGGUGGCAUGAGCUGCCAGCGUUUGGUUGUAGCAACCGGUUAAAUGGUGCUGCAAAAUCAAGCAGGAUGGAGUCUAAACCUUCGCCAAGAGGACUGCUUGCUCUUAAAAAUGUCGCCUAAGCAUUCUGACCCCCCAGCAUACUCAAUGUUUGCCUUAUUGACAUUUUCUGCCCUUCACAUAGAGCCUGAGCUGCCCAGCAUUUCUAACCUGGAGGGCAUAGCAGAGUAAGGAAAAGUAGUCGUAGAACCCAGACAAAAAUUAUUAAGUUGUGUUGUCUUUUUUUUUUUUUAAGGUUCACAAGAGACUGUUGCUUAUCCUUGAUGGAUGGUUUCGCGCUAGUGACACCAUGGUUUUGUACAGUUUCAUAGGACUGUUUGAAAAGUACCUGUUCUGUUAAGAAAGAAAAAUAUUUCCUACUUUGCCUUCUCACUUCAGCAAUAUUAUAUAGACUUAAGCACCACAGGCUUACCCUGUGUAUUUUUUUUUAAAGUAUGUUAAAAUAAGUUUUUAUCCUGUGGAUUUGCUUUAUUUUAAAGAAGGAAAAAGGUAGCUAAUUGUAUUUGGUAUUACGUUGAAAAUCACUGCAGGGUUCUAAAAAGCCACAGUUUGAAGCUACACAACCAUAAAAAAAUAUUUUUAGCAAGAAUGAUCUAGUACAUUCCAUUUGAGCACAUAUCCUAAUAAAUAAAUUACACCUAGUCAAAAAAAUUUUUACUAUGAAUUCCCAAAAGCCAGUUUGAUCUGCUUUACCAAGAACAUUGGCCAUUAAAUCUACUCAUAAAUUUGUAAUGUUUGGAUCCAACUAUUUUUGACAGGGAUUUGAGGUGGUGGUAAGUCCCAUCAGAUAGUCAGCUUCAUUACAGCCUCAACUUCCUGGGUCACGGUGUCGUUCAACAAAGGACUCCUGGAAAUAAUCUUGACUGAGUAAGUGCCUUUGUCAUGUAAGAGACUCACAGGAACUUUUCUAGACUUUUAUAUACCCUCAGAGUGCACAGGAACUUUCUAGGUAGACAUAUUCAACCAAGUUGUGCUGAGCAUUAAACACAGUAACCGUAUUAAUAACUACCAUGUGAUUUCCCUCACUCUGAAUCAUACUGGAGACCUUAGAUAACAAAAAGAUAACAAGAAACUCUUGUUUCUUCAGGUUGUGCUAAUGGAGGGAAAAGUGUUGCCAUCCAUUCAGACCACAGCAGCUAGUUCCCUUUCUGUUACUGUCCUGUCCAGGAAAAGUACUUGACAUUUCGGACUUGGUCAAUGGUGUUUGAUAAGCAGUGUUUGUGCCCAAAGAGUCUCGAGCAAAAGGGAUAGUGUGGAGUUUGAAUGAGAAAUGUCUUCCAUAAGCUCAUGUAUUUGAUCACUUGGUCCAAAGUUGGUGGUACGAUCUGAGAAGGUAAUGGACCCCCAGGAGGUAGACUCUUUCAGGAGGAAAUAUGUUACUUAGGAUGGACUGGUGUAGGAUAUUUGAUCACACUGUGAACUGUGAGAUUGUGUUGUUUACUGGAAAAAAAAAACUGUUUCUAGUUGUGUUGUGUGCCCCCCCCCCCCCCAGCACACACCUUUAAUCCCUCUGGCUGGAAUACAGACACACCCUUAGCACACAACCUUAAACCUUUUUUAAAAAAGAUUUAUUUAUUUAUUAUAUGUGAGUAUACUAUAACUGUUUUCAAACACACCAGAAGAGGGCACAAGAUCUCAUUACAGAUGGCUGUGAGCCACCGUGUGGUUGCUGGGAUUUGAACUCAGGACCUCUGGGAGAACAGCUAGUGCUCUUAACCGCUGAGCCAUCUCUCCAGCCCACAACCUUACAUCUUAAACAGUGAAGCUAAAGUUAGUUUGUAGAUGGAAGCACACUUGAUGUCUAAUUGAAUGACAGGCAAAGUGAUGAAUCAAAGAAAGAUUUGACAGAAUAGGAUAUGGCCAACUCUAAGGAGGAGAGGAAAGGGAAGCUACUUAAGGAGAGCAAUGCAGAGAGAGAGAGGGAGAUGGGUGGGGGAGGCAGUUUUACUUGGACAGUUUUACAGAAACAGGUUGCAGAGAGAGAACAAGCUAGACACAGGUGAGUACAGAAGGAGUCAGAGAGUGAAAAGGAGCCAGAAAUUAGAACAGAUUGCCAGAGUUAGUAUGAGGCCAAGCAGAGCAGUUCAAUCAGACACCAAGAGAGAAGCCAGAUUGACUCAGCUUGGAGAGGAGUUUUGAGGCAGGACAGCCAAGUUGACCAGCCAGCUAGAGUUCAGAAAGAUCAAGAAAGGGUGAGCAUAUUCAGCAGCAAGCCUCAGAGGUUUAAAACAUUCUAGGCCUAGAUUAGAUUGUCUGGAGCUAGACGCUUCCAGGACUAAGCCUAGGUUAGCAGACGGGGGCAGUAAGCCUCACAAACAACAAUUACUUCAGGGAAAUAAAAGUUACUGUUACAGUGGGUUUUAAAGUUUCAUAGCCUGGCCCCAUUGUUCUGUUCCUGGGACUAUAAACCAAAAUAAAUAUUUUCUUCUCUGAGUUGCUUUUGUUCGUGGAAUUUUAUCACAGCAUCAGAAAAGUAAUGAAUGCAGGUAGUAAGGGAAGUGAAAGAAGGAAUUGCUAUACUUACCCCCCAUGAGUUGGUUUUCUCCAAGUUCCUUGAUUCUUCUGACAGCUCAGCAUCAAAACCUGUGUUUUUUUCACCUUGUCUUCUCAAACUGCAAAUCUUCUAGUAACCAAUAGUUACCAUCCCUUGUUCCUUGAUUGAACAGACGGUGCUUCAUAUAGACAGACAGGGAUGCAGACAGAUAGAUAGACAGACACUUGGGGGGUGAGAGGAAGAAAGAAUGAUAAUGGGUCAGCAGUUCAUGAGGUGGCUGAAGCAGUGACAGAGAAUUCAUAUGCAUUAAGUGAAAAGGGAGGAUGCCUUGCAGGCCUGUCAGGCUGACUGCUGACACAUGAGAUGUGCAGCUGCAUCGUUGGCCUCUUCGGUUGCUUUACUUUCUGCUUUGCUUAUAGCAGAGAUCACGCUGAAAUAUUUAAAAGUAAAACGAGGAAGUCCACACAAAUCUCCCAUAGUAAGCAUUUAUUAACUUACAAAGAAACUCCCAAGAAAUGCUCUCAUAUGACUAUGUUCGGUGAAUAAUCAUAUUUCCAAAUGUGCCUACACUUAGAGAUGCACAUGCUUAAAGUUAGAGGGCAUUUUACUCGUAAAAGAAAAUAAGAGUCUCGAUGUGGUUUUGAUGUAAAUAUAUGAAACAACUUCAUUAAUGCCCCCUCAUAUUUGUUCCCAAUUGUCAUCUGAGAGCAGAGUAUGCUGUUCUUCUUUCUUAUACACAAAUUAUUUGUCCAGUUGUUUAUGCAUGUAGUCUAGGAUGACCAAAACACAGAAAAUUAUAACCUUUCUCCUCUCACCAAAGCAAUUCAAACUCAAUGAGGCAGGCACUUGUGGGUUCCCUGGUGCCCUGGCACGGUGCUUAGAUACUUAGCUUUAUCACUCUUUAUUGAAAUACCCUUCAACAAAGGAAUUUAUGUUAAUUAAUAAUUAUAGAGUACGUUUUAGAAAAAAUUUAUAAUAUAUGAUGAGAAGAGAAAUUUAGGCUAACAGGAGCAUCUAUGCUCUCUGUUACAAACGAGAUAACUUUGACAGAGCCAAAAGGAAGCCAGAAGAUUUCUAGAUGAACUUGAAAUCAAAAGAAGCAGUGGUAAUUGGAUGAUACUGACAGGUAAUAAAUGAUUUGCUUUUCAUGCAUCAUUUUAUACUGCAUGGUUUGGCUUGCUAGGUAGACCAGAUGGCCUUGUUGCUUAGACAAAGCUGUAGGUGCUCUGUUGCAUUUGAGUAUCUAAAGACUGUUCAUUACUAUGGUCGCCUAUCUCUUGUUCCCUCAUCUUUCCUGGGAAUGCUGGCCUUCAUUUAGCCACCAUUUACCUUCUGGUGUUAGAAUAAUAUUUACAGUAAUGGUAUUUUCAUAUCACUGAAUGUGAGGUCUCAUUGACCCCAUCACAUGGUGGAUGCUUCUGAAAAAGGACAAUUCAAUUAAUCAAUUAAGUUUUAUUAGAUUAUGUAAAUUAGAUUUUUCUUAAUUUUAUUCUCAGAUCCCAACCUUAAAUUUCAGUUAUAUUCAGCUAGACAUCUUUCCUGUGUACUCGAGGCUCCCCUUUAGAUAAUUAUGUUUAUGUAAUUGUAUAUAUAACUAGACAGUAGUCCCCCCUUACUAAAAAUCAAAGAGGAAUGUAGAAACAGCAGGGGUUUGAUUAGUUAAUACUUUUACAACGGGCAAGGUUUUACAGGUUGCUUUAGAAAAUAAGCUGUUUACCUCACUGCUAAUUGAUUGACAGUCGUUCUCAAAUAAAAAAACACAUCUGAAUAUGAGCUGUAUAAACAUCAGAUUAAUUAUUUUGUUUGUUAUCAUUUGCCAAAGAGAAAAUGAUUUAUUUUAUUUAUUUUGAUGUGGAAUUCAAUUUAAAAUGGAUCUAACUUUGAAUUCUUGAAAAAGGUUAGCUUUGUAUCCAUAAUGCUAGGAUGACCGCUCGAUGGGGGUGAUCUCGGCUGCAUGAGACAUGAGGGAAACAUUAGGGAGUAAGCGUCACAUGCAUCUUGAUGGGGAUAAUCCAGACGCAAACCACAGCAGGACCCAUCCACAGAAGCUGAUAUUCUGGGGAGCAACUCGUAUUUGGAUAAACAGGAGUAUGGGCAAGGCAAGGCUCGGACAUUAAGUCAGGAGCAGAAGAUAAUCAGUAUCGCUUCUUUAUCCUAUACAUAGGAAUUUUCUAGAAGAAGGAUGUACAUGGCCAAAUAUUCCUCAAUGAGAUGCUUCAAAUCCCACUAAUAUACUUAUGAUGAACAAAGAUAAUGGAUUUUUACUAUUUAUCUCAAUUUAAUUAUUCUUCCUUAUGGCCUCAUGUAUCAUUUUGGUAUAGAGCAACAACUUAAUGAAUUUUAAAGUAUGUGCACAAAUGCUCUAUUUCUCUCUCUCUGUGUGUGUGUGUGUGUGUGUGUCUUUGUACACAUGAGUGUAUGUACACAAGUAUGGGUGUGUAUGUGAGUAUGUGUGCACACACACACUUCUCCAGAACCGUUACCUCUAUUCACUCACCUGAAUUGUUUGUGGUCUUCACAACUUCUGGCUUUUCUGGAGGACUCAGAGUUAUUUCUGAAUGCUUCUGGCAUUUAAUUUAUUCGCACAUCGAAAUAUUUAUCCAUAUGAAAAUAUCUAGCACAUUCUAUGUCCAACGAAGUGUUUACAGACCUUAAAAGCAUCGAUGCUGGAGUUCUCACUGUCUGCCUCAGACUCUGGGUGGAUACUUAUUCUUUCCGAUGCUGGGAAAGUGAUUUGAUUUCUCUGAGCUUCUUUCUUUCAUCUAUAAAAUCAGAAAAAUAAUCCCAGAUAUUGGGCUUGAAGUGUUUACCUCAACACAGUUGUUAUGCCGAAAGAUCUAGUUGUCAAGUCUCCCACCCACAUAUUACAGAGACUACACAACUGUAAGGUAAUCAUACUAAAGCACUGAGAAAAUGACCUUUAUAAAACCAUUUAAGAAUGAAAAAAUUUUUUGUAGCAAUGGAAAGAAACCAGUGAUUGGCCAAGUACAGGUAGCAUGGACCACACAGGGUUGGUGUGGCAAGGAAACUCUUCUGUGGUUGAGGUCAUUGACAGUGGCUCUAUACGACUUGCACUAAUGGCUACAUCAGUAUGAGCUCCUACCAGCAGCGAAUUAGACUUCUAGUUCCUCCACAUCAUUGCCAGGGUUUACUGUUAUUUUUUUUCUUGAGAAUAGCUAUUUUGACUGUAGCAAGAUAGAAUCUCAAAGCAUUGUUUUUAAUUAAUUGCAAGCUAUGGUUCUAAAACACAUGAACAAAUGAACCUUAAACAUGUCGGAGUUUGGGAAGGUGAAUGCAGUCAAGUAAUAUGAUACCAGGAAGAGGUUGUGGGGUGUUAGAAGCAUGUUUUGGAGUCAUUUAGCAAGGGGAGUUUUGGUUCUAUUUUGCAAGAAAUGAAGAACUAUGGGUAGCUUUUGGCUCAGUUCUUUAUAGGUAGAUGUGAGACCAAGACAAAACAUAGCUUUAAAAGAAUACUGAGGACAGUUAAUCAGGCUAAGAAGUUACUAUGAAACUUGAGAAUAAGGAGUGUUGAUUAAUGAAUACAUGAACUAAGUUAUGGUGUGAUGAGAUGAUUCAAUUCUAUGACAUACUUAGAUUAUCUCUGGGCUGGAGAAAUGUUCAGAGGUUAAGAGCAUUUACUGCUCUUGCAGAUGACCCAGGUUCAGUUCUCAGCACCAACAUGGUGUCUCACAACUCCAUGAUCCAAGACCUCCAUCUGCAACUCCAGAUCCAAGGGUUCCAAUAUACCCUUCUGUCAUCCAAGUGUACCAGACACACAUGUGGUGCCCAUACAUACAUGAAGAUCAGCACUCAUGCACACACAGUGUAAAUACAUAAGUCUUAAAAACAGUGUCUCUAGUUACAUAAGAGUAGGUAUAAACCAAAAAUGGCGUACAUUUUAAUACGUAUAAAAAAGAUCUUGAAAUUCAUAACCCCCCUUUGAUCAGUAGAAGUUGAAAUUGCAGAAAGACUAUUUUUUGUACAGUUGUUUAUAGAUACUUAUGCAUUAAACACUUUAAUGCUUAAAUAUGUCUCUUCGAUAUGUCUACAUAGAUGAUAUUGUCUUCACCUAGGAUUCCUAUGAGUAGGGAUGGUGUAUCGUUACUUUUUAUUACUACAACCUAGGCGAAAAUCAUUAUAAAGAAAAGAUACUUAUUUUGACUCAUGAUUCUGGAGUUCUUAGGUCUAGGGACCUCUUUUAGUGACAGCGUUCACACUGUCAUAAGUACGGGCCAUAUAGAAUGUCACAUGACAAAAUACUGGGAACACACAUACAUAUGUGUCUGUCUGCUUUCUCUUAGUCUUGUUUCAAAGUCAUCAGGAUUCAGCUUUAAGGGCUCCAGCCUAUGAAUGACCUUCAGUCAACCUGCUUACUCUCCAAAGACAUCACUUCUAAUACCAUCAUGGAUUAAAUCUCACCCUUCUAACUUAAUUAACAUGUAAUUUUGGAGAUUAAAUUCUGUGUGAGGGCACAAGAGAGUUGGGACACAUUGUGUUUAGAGCAUAGAAGAGGGAAAGUUUUAUGGAAGGGGAUGCUUGUGGGAGAGAGACCUGUUUGGAAGAGAAGGCAGCACUAGGCAGAGGGAGAAGCUGGACCACAUUAAUUGUAACAGAGGCAUACUGAGGGUUCUACUGCUAGUGUCAGAGUAUCAGACGCAAAAAAAUGUAUCAGAAAAUCACUUUAAAGGGGGAGAAAGGAUUUAUUCUUGUUAACAGUUUUGGGGGUUUCUGUGGUCAGUUCAUUAUUUUAUGUCUAGGCCUGUAGAUCAGAAGAACAUCGUGGUGUGGGGCAUGUCAUAGAACAGAAUUGUUUGUGUAUGGCAGUCAGGAAGCAGUAAAAGAGAAUGAGAAAGAAGAACUAGGAACAAGCAUACACUUCAGGAAUAUAACCCCUACUGGCUAACUGUCUUCAACUAGAGCCACUUGCCUAUAGUUUCUACCACCUACCCAGAGCCCAUUAAGUUAUGAAUCCAUAGAAAGGUUAGUUCAUUGUCGAGAUCAGAGCCUUUCUAAUCUAAUCUAAUCUAAUCUAAUCUAAUCUAAUCUAAUCUAAUCUAAUCUAAUCUAAUCACCCUUUAACACUGUUACAACGAGGACUAAGAGUUUAGCAUAUGUGCUUCUGUAUAUGUUCAGAUCCAAACCACAACAGCCAAAUGGACCUUCAGAGUUUUCCAGAACUGACAGAACAUGGCCAAUCAUUACAUUCUUGUACCAGCUUGGUACUAUGUUUGGCCUUCCUUCAAGGAAGGAUCAUGACUUUAGGCAAGGCUUAGAGUAAUUCUCAGUGAGGUUUACGACCCAGAGCUGCCAAUGACUGGGAAUUGUUAAGGUUAGAUGUGCAUGCCCCACGAGGUCAGCCAGAAAACAUACUUCAGUCCCAAGUGGUUAUUGGCAUAAAUAUAAAACACAACUUUGUAUUCUGCUUACCUUGUUUAACUACCACAUCUAGCUUUCACCCACAUGAAGAUACAGGAGGGAAAAUAAUUCUUACAACUUUCUCUAGCUUUGCCUUUUACUGAAGUCUCAGCUUCUCUGUGGGCUGGGCUCCAUCCACUACAUAGAAUGAGUCCAGGGCCUUCAGGUCUACCCCACCAGCCACAACCCACGGUCUUAUGAUUCUGACACCUGCAUUUGUCUCUUAAGAACUUCCAUUUCUAUAUUUGAUAUUGUUCCAAUAUUUUCACUAUUUUUUUUUAUAAUUUUUUCCUUUGCUGGUUUCUAAUGCUUUCUUUCCUCUGCUUCUCAACCACACAUUUAAAGAUGUAGUUUUAAUAAUUUAUUUAGAACCUGGAGUUUCAAAGCAGCAUUUUUUUUAAACUAUGUAUUCCACAGAACUGCAUAAAGCUAAAUCCCAACUAUCUUCACCAAAGUAAACUUUAUCAUAUUCUUCACAUGACUUGACUUUAGCUCUUUAUUUCUUAUUUUGCCUCUUGUCAAUUUUAUUCUGUUUCAAAAGCAAUAUAUCUCUUCUUUGGUCAACUUUGUCUAAUGGAGAAUUAUUUGAUCAUAAGCUAUUAUUAUUCCCACAUAACUUUCCUGUUUUGUUUUGUUUAGCUGCCUUCUUAGCCCAGUCCCUCUAUGUGAUUUUUAUCACAGUAUUCCUUAAUGCAGUACGAAUGGUUUCUCUUCUAGCAAUUACCCAUCUUUGGGUGGCUUAAUUCCAGACCAGCUCUUUUCCCCCAGAGAUAGAUGAUGAAACUGAGCCAGGGCAGAUAGAUUUUCUUCCGUUUCCCAUUACCUUGCUCUAGAAACUGGUUCUUGUUUACCCUCAACUAAUUUCUUUCUCUCUGACUGACUUUAAUCAUUACCCAUCUGUCUGGUAACUCGUAUAUCAUUCUUUGUCAGGUGAAUGUGCAUUAGAUGUUCAGCCACCAAUCUUUCUUGCUGACCUUUCAAUGCCCACAUCUGCUGGUACAGAGAAGACAUGCUGGCCUGGGCCCACGUUUAGCAUCAUCAUCAGUGGCACCUGAAGCCAAACGGAUAUCAGAACGUCUUCCCGGCAUUCUUGUGCAUGGAGACCUCAUGUUCUUCGUCAGGGUCAUUUAACGUUCCUCAGGGGUUAGUACCUCCAAGUGCUCUCUGUACUGUUUACUCAGCCAGGAGGAGACAAGACCUUGCUUCUAUUCUUGGAGCUGCCCCCAUGAUCCACUGCUCCAGCAGCUUUCGGGCAGCUUUCUUGAUGAGCAGGGUUUAUGUUAGGAGUAUUUCCCACUUUUGUCAGUUCCAUCUCUAUGUCUCAGAAUUCUUAUCCUCGGUCGACUUCAGGAAAGGGAGCAUUUAGUGCUUCUUUGUGAUCUAGAAGUCUAAAGGUUCAUUGUAGGGUGAGAGGCAGGUGAAGAAGAGUCCUUCUCAUAAAGCUCUGAGAAGGACGGCCUUGUGAGCACAGCCUGGGGGAAGAGUGUUCCUUUUUUUACACGCUGAAAAACAGAACGCCCACAGAGAGCAGAAAGGAGAACUGUUCGGCCAACAGGAAGAAAACCGAUCACAUUGAAAUGGUUUUGUCCUUGUGGGCGAUACAAGAGAUUACACAUAUAACUGCUAUCAUAAUUUAUUUCUCAAAAUUUGCAUUAAGUACCCUCUGCGCACCAUUUAUAGGGAACAAGCAACAAAUGAACCGGAGUUCCUUUUCUCUGGCCCUUCACUUCUUACAGAGGAGCCACACAGUGAACGAUCGGACACAACAGAAGACAGGAGUCUGUUCUCUGUUGUGGUGUGUGAUCGGUGAUGCCAGCACAGUGAAGUGCUUAUUGGAAACGCCCUGUAGAGGUACCAUGUAAGCCAGGCCCAUAGGAGUAGGGAGUGCAGCCAUGGGACAGUGGAGGAUAGCAUUCCUGGCCAAGGGCAGAAAAGCUCCUUGUCCCUGGAACAAGAAAAGAGCUCAGGGAGUUUUAAGAAGAACCACACUGCCAGUUGGAGUGUGGGGAUCACAAGCUGAGGUUGGAAGGGAAGAAAGGAACAGACCAUGUGGACAACUCAAGGGGCUGGUAGUUAGUUAUCCUCACGUGACUCAGUGGAGAUAAUUAAGGACCUAAUAUCAAUAAAUAUAGAUGGCCUAGAAAGCUAUCAAAAAGAUGUUUUAAAGCUAGGGAAAACAACACAUAACAUCAGCUUACAAAAUCAGAACUUUUCAUAGAAACAUGCCAACUUCAAAAUGACUUUGUCAGAAUUCAUAGGAUAAAGAGAACGUUAUUUAUAGAUUCAUCAUUUUUUCAUUGAUCGAAAAUGGGUUUUUCUCACACAAUAAAUCCCGAUUAUGGUUUUCUCUCUCUACUCUUCACAGUGCCUCCCCUCAUCUCCCCUCCCAUCCUGACCUACCCUCCUCUAUGUCUGUCUCUCAUUUGAAACAAACAGGCUUCUAAGGGGUAAUAAUAAAUAAAGUAUAACAAAACACAAUGAUAUAAACCAAAAAACAAGCAUAUUGGAAUUGGAUGAAACAAUCAGAGUGAAAAGAAUCCAAAAGAAGGUACAAGAAGGAGAGACUCACUCUUAAACACACUCAAGAAUCCCACAAAAACAGGAAACUAGAAUAUAUAUAUGCACAGGAUCUGUAGGGUAGAAAGAGAGAAGAAUAUAUAUUUAAAACAAAAACGUAAAGGAAAGGGCCUGACAGGGCAUUAUGAGACAAGAAACCACCACCGGUGCACUGAGUUCGUACUUGUUAGCCAUCCACUGCGGGGCAUGCCGCCUGCCCUUAUAACGUGAGACUCUCUUGGAGGAGUUUCCUUUGCAAAUGGUUAUCAGUUGGAGGUAGCUUGUGGGUUCAGCUCCAGGACCCCAUCUGGUGCAAACCUGCGCAGGCACAGAGCGGGUUGCCUCAUGUCUCUGUGAGUCGUAUGUGCAGACCAUGCUCAUUUACAGGGCCCUGCUCUGGACUCCAUCUCUUCUGCCUCCUCCUCGUUUGCAGGAUUUCCCAAAUCCUAAGGGAAGGGAUUUGAUGGACGCUUCCCUUUUGGAUCUGAGUGUUGCGAGGUCUCUCGCUUUUUGCACUCUCUCGCUCUCUGACUGUGGGGCUCUGUACUUGUUCACACACACACACACACACACACACACACACACACACACGCACAUACAUACACAUACACACACAUACACACAUGCACACACAUACACACAUAUACAUACACACACACACAUGCACACACACACACUCAAAUAGAGAGAUUCUUUGAUUUUCUUCCUUUCUAAUUUUUAUUCCCUUGAGAUCCCAUAGUUCUCUUAUUGCUAGGGCUAAGAUUUCAAGUAAUAUAUUGAGUGGGUAUGGAGAAAGUACAUAGAUAACUUUGUCAUGUUCUUAAUUUUUAGUGGAAUUGCUUUGAGUUUCUUGAGUUUGAUGUUGGCUAUGGAGUUGCUGUAAAUUGUCUGUAGGGUGUGGAAGUUUGUCCCUUGAAUCCCUACUAUCUCCAUGGCUUUUAUCAUGAAUGGGUGUUGGAUUUUGUCAAAGGCCCUUUCUGCAUCUGAUUUAUUUGGUGGCUUACACUGAUCUUUGCAUGUUGAGCCAUCCCUGCAUCUCUGGAACGAAGCCUUCAUGGUUGCGGUGGACGAUCUUUUCUUGUUUUCUUAGAUUCAGUUUGCAACUUUUUUAUUGAGAAUCUAUGCAUUGACAUUCAUAAGGGAAAUUGGUCUGUAAUUCCUUUUCUUGUUGGGUCUUUAUGUGGUUUUGGUAUUAAUAUAACUGUUAGGUUGUAAAAUGAAUUGGGUAGCAUUCCUUAUGUUUCAAUUUUGUGGAAUAAUUUGAGGAGUAUUGGCAUCUACUUUGAAAAUCUGGCAGUAACAUUUUGCACUAAUUCCAUUUGCCGCUGUUUUUUUGUUUUUUGCUUUUUUUGUUUGUUUGUUUUUUAAAUUGGGGGACUUUGAAUUACUGCUUCUAUUUCACUGGGGAUUAUAGGCUUUUUUCAAGUUGCUUAUUUGAUCUUGAUUUAACUUUUGGUAAGGGUAUUUCUUUUAGGUUUACCAAUUUGGAGCAGUACAGGUUUUUAAAGUAUGUCCUCAUGAUUCUUUUUGUUUCCUGUGUCUUUUGUUAUGCUGCUCUUUUCAUUUGAUUUUGUUAGUUUGAACAUUCUCUCUGGUCUUUAGUUGAGUUGGAUCAAUAUUCAUUAUAUAGUUCAUCAAUACUUUUGGUUUUCCCAAAGAACCAACUCUUUGUUUGAAUUGAAUCUUUGAAUUGUUUUUGUUUGUUUGCUUGUUUUUAUUAAUUUCAGCCCUGAAUUUGGGGUGUGAUUUCUUUUUUUUUUUUUUUUUUUUUUUUUUUUUUGGAGCUGGGGACCGAACCUAGGGCCUUGCGCUUGCUAGGCAAGCGGUCUACCACUGAGCUAAAUCCCCAACCCCGAGGUGUGAUUUCUUUUUCUUCUUCUUCUUCUACUUCUUCUUCUACUUCUUCUUCUUCUUCUUCUUCUUCUUCUUCUUCUUCUUCUUCUUCUUCUUCCUCUUCCUCUUCCUCUUCUUCUUCUUUUCUUCUCUUCUUUUUUUCUAGAACUUUCAUGUGUGCUGCUAAAUUCCCAAUAUGUUCGAUUACAAUAUUUUUUAAAUGUAGACACUUAGUGUUAUGAAUUUGCCUCUUAGCACCACCUUCAUUUUGUUCCUUAAGUUUGAGUAUGUUGUGCAUUCAUUUAAUUUAAUUCUAGAAAGUCUUUAAUGACCAAUUUUAGUGUUAGUUAUUCAGUCUCCAUGAGUUUGUGGGCUUUCUGUAGUUUUCUAUUGUUGUCGAUGAUAUGCAGCUUAAUCCGUGAUGCUUAGAUUGGAUGCAAGGUGUUAUUUUAAGUUUCUUGUAUCUUUGAGACUUGCUUUGUGGCUGAGUAUGCUGUCAUUUUCAGAGAAAGUUCUCUGAGGUGUUCUUUUGUGUUUGGGUGAAAUGUUCUGCAAUAUCUGUCAAGUGGAUCUGGUUUAUACUGUCAGUUAUCUGUAGCCUUUUUAUGUUUUUUUUUUUUUCUGGAUGACCUGCUUAUUGGCGAGAGUUUGGUACUGAAGUAUGUGAACGUAAAUAUAUGCUUUAAAUUGGAGAAGUGGACUAAAGCUGAAAUUUUGCUCUCUGUCUGACUCUGUGGGAGAAACCUCUUUCAAAGAGAUGUAGACCUGGCAUCAUGUCUCGCUCUCUGCUUUAAUUCCUAAUAACUUCAAGUGAGGCACGAAUGCUAGCUAUCCCUCCAAUGCUUGGUUUAGAAGCCUGAAGAACUCAAGUGGCUGUGCCCUUUUCACUUUCAGUUUCAAAUACAGCAUUCUGGUCCUGGCAGCUGGAGAGCAGCAUGUGUACAAGUGGGGUGGCUGGCUGUUGGUCCUGGCCAGAGAAGGAGCUUGGGUGCUUUAGCAGAAUGUCCCUGCGUCACUUUGCCAGUCAUGGGAAACUAUUCAUUUCAUACCCAUGCCCUGGUAUCAGAGUUCAGAGUUAUUUUGGGUUUUGAUGAGCAUACCACCAGCAGAUUAUCAGUGCAGGAAGCCAAGUUCAUACCAUCUGUGCGGUGUUUGUAUCUACAGAAUUAUCUGGAAGACUGAUUGCUCAGGUACCUGUGCCUCCUGGCCUUCCAGUGCUCCGUCUAGAAGGGUGGCUCACACUUUCUUGAAAGUCACUGCGAAUAAUCAGCAUAAAUUCCUUCAGCACGGGUCAGGGAUCACAUCACUCAGCAUCAAGAGCCACAAAGUGCUGUCUCGAAUGGCCACUUCAUGCAGGCAAAGUGUAGCUCCCAGUGGUGCUAUGAUACUAAAUUUUUGACAAUUGGCUUGGGGAGAUAGUUCAUUUAUAUCAUUUGCCAAUAUUUAUGAUAUUUAUAAAGACCUAGAUGAUGAUGUAUUUCAGGAAUAGCACAUUUUUUGAUAUGGGCAAGGUUUUGCUCUAAUCCCCAGCAUAGGCCUACCACUGUCCACCCAGAAUCUUAUAUAAUAUAUAGAAAUUCUUUAAAAGCAGAGAUGAGUAAAAUCAUUGCAAGUGGGAAAAAACCAAACACAGAAGAGUCAUGUUUGUAUAAAACAAAUAAAUUCCCAAUUGCCAUUCUGGAUGGCUUUACUAGUAAUGCUUAUUGCCUGGAUAAGGAAUAAAUGUCACCAUUGUCGCACAAAGUCUUUUAGAAAACACUGGGAGAAAUAAUUCCAACUGAUUAUUUUGAACCCAUUCAUUUUUCCUCCCACCAAAAAUCAGAUGACAACAUCUUGAAAAUAUAAUAUUGUAGAUCAAUGUAUUUCAUGAAUUGGCAUAAAAUAAGACCCAGAUUUUGAACUGAGUAUCAGUAACUGGAGUCCAGCAGCAUAUGCAUGUAACUUAUGAUAGACAUUCCUGGGCUGUUUCUCUGACAUUCAAAAUCAAUUGAUAUGCCAUUGAUUUGACAGAAUAAGGUAGUUGUCUGAAGAGAUGAAGCAAAACCAUCUGAAAAAUAUCACUUACAGUGUGUGUGUGUGUGUGUGUGUGUGUGUGUGUGUGUGUCUCCCACGUAAAUUUUUGAGUUCUUCCUCAACUUGCGAAAAGACAUCAAUAAAAAGCUGCAACUGUCAAGCUUCACUGUUGGGAAACUAAACAUUUCCUCUGCAACAGGGAAGAAUGAUAAAAAUUUUCCGUGCAAAUCACUUGUACUCGAUUUUGUGCUAAGACAGGAAAAUGCAAAACUAGAAAAGAGUAAAUUGUAUGUAGUUUAUUGAAGAGUUUUAUUAUUUGAGAUACACACACAUAUCAAAAAUAAUUUUUUAAAGAUGUAUUUAUUUAUUAAAUAUAACUACAUAUAGCUGUCUUCAGACACACCAGAAGAGGGCAUCGGAUCUCAUUACAGAUGGUUGUGAGCCACCAUGUGGUUGCUGGGAUUUGAACUCAGGACCUUUGGAAGAGGAGUGAGUGCUCUUAACCACUGAGCCAUCUCUUCGGCUCCCAAAAUAAGUUUUGAAAUAGCUACUUAAAGCCACUAAUCAAAUUUAGUAAAGGCAUGGGGAAUAAUACCGCUAUUUCAAACAUAUUUUUAUAAAGUAGCAACAAAGAAGACAUAAAAAUAUUAUAGUGUAAAUAGCGCCCAAAUCCAUGUGUUACCUGCAUGUAGAUUCAGCAAAUAUUGUGUAUAUCUGUAUGUUGUUAACUACAAAUACUUCUGGGAGAACCUAAAGGCAACCUGAGCAAAUGGUUGUAUAACAGGUUACCUGUGAGAAGUCUUAGUGUAGCCAGGAGGUGAGUUCUCAAACAGUAACACUGAGAAUUCUGGCUAGAUGUUUGUAGGGAUGUAGAAAGCCAGGAUUCUAACAUUUAAAUGAUGAGCAUACAAAGGUCUAAAGGACUUCAAAAAUAAUUCUGAAAGAAUGGACAUUGUCAGAGAGUGGGGUCAGAAGAAUGUUCGUAUGGUCUCACGAGGUAGCUCUUUGGUUUGACCUGUAUAAUUUGUUCCCUUGAGUUGGGAAAAGGUCUAUAGCAUGAAGGGAUUCCAUUCUCAUGAUUAGAUUGUGCUGUUCAACAAAGCCAAAGGGUCUUCCAUCAGUGAGUCUGCAUGGCUCCUUGCCUAUGUAUUUACACUGACACUAAACCCUUACCCCAUAGAAAUAGAUGACUCCACCUCUUGUGAUGGUUAAUCUCAACAUCACCCGGAUGGAAUCUAAAGUCACCUGGGAGAUGGGUCUCUGGGUCUGCUUGUGCAGUCUUAUCUUGAUUAGGUAAUUGUAAUGUGAAGGCCCAUCCAUUGUGGGUGGUACCAUUCCUUAGGCUUGGAUCCUAGACUAUAUAAAAUGGAGAAAAUAAGCUAAGCAGAAGCUUUCAUGCUCUCUGUUUUGGUUCUUAUAUUAUUUUAAUGUUUUAUCCAUGGGCUCAAUGUAUCUUGAUUAUAUCUAGACCCCUACUUCCCUUCUAAAUUUUUCUAGGACCACAUAGCACAUAUGUUUCCCAAUCUUAUCCCCUCCUCCUCAGUUUAGUCAAUGCUGUGUGACUGGCAUUUGCAUGGGUGUGCGACCAGUCGCUGGUCAUGGGCAGUCUACCAAUUUCCAUAUUUCCUGAGGAGAAGACAUCACAUGCUAGUGACUACUCAGCGAGAGGUGUGGCCUCUGAAGCCCCUUCCCCGACCCCUGCUGAGUUAUACUGGCUUCAUAUUGUACAAGUCUUGUGCAUGUAACCACAACUGCUGUUGGAGCAUGUGUACAGCCUAUGUCAUUCCUCCCUGUCUUCUUACACACUUUCUACCCAGACCUCUGAGAUGUUCCCUGACCCUCGAGAUGGAGGAGUUCUUGCCUGGAGGAAACCUGAGCAGAUGCCUCAAGUUCCUGAUGCCACUGCGACCUCACCACUGUGACCACUGUGAUGGACUGUAGCCUCCCACUGGGGGCCACACAAAUACUUUCUGAAGUUGCUUCUGUUGGGAUAUCCUAUCCCAGCGACGAAACAAUUUGUUGUUGCGGUGUUCUGGACCAUCUACGCCUAUGACAGAGAGAUGAUAUACCCAAGAUUGCUUGACAACUUUAUCCCAGGGUGGCUGAACCAUGGAAUGAGUUCAUGAGGGGUCCUUGUGAUAACCACAAUUAGAAACUUCUGAGUAUCGAGCGGCAUUGUCCCAGGCCCCUAAGGAUCAUGGGGAGAGCAAGGACAUGGUGGUGGUCUCCGUAUUCUCAUGGUAAGUGCAUACUUCUCUAUCCAAACAUACAGGUUUCAGAAACCCAUUUCAAAGUAUUGGUGCUAGCUAGCUUCCUUCCCUCCCACUCCCCAUGACCAUUUGAUUAUGACUCUAACCAUUCAAUUCGUCAACAUUCUUUGGGUACACUAGUAUGUGCUUGACUAACUUCUCUGAGCUCCUUUAUAAUCUUCAUAAGGUAAGGAUUGGCCUCCAGUAUUCUCCGCCACAAAAUUGUCAGUAACAGUGCAUUCCAAACACAAGCUCCUCUAAACGGUCCCCCAGGACCGACUCUAUACCAAUUCCUGGUUCCUCUGCUGAAACCUAUUUAACCUCUGUCUGUCUGUCCAUGCUAGUUUCACCUCUGCUUUGACUUCCCAUGAUUGACAUACCGCUCUUCUUUGCCUCUUGGGUACCUCCGUUAGGUUGGUUUCAGGUUUCUCUGUGUGUUAGUAUAUCUGACUCAGUAUCUGGGUUAUAGCAACACUCAGAAAGUUGUCUCUGAAUGAGCUAACGAAUGAACACAUGAAUGAUUGAGUGAAUGAGUAAAUGCCUCACUCUCCCACUCUGGUUAUACUCCCUGGGCUGAACCUGGAUUACUUUCUUCAUGUGGACCUAAGCUGGAACGUUAGCAGUGCCAUUUCAUUUUCAUGUCUUAUAACUUAGUAUCUUAGUAAUUCAUUCGAAACCCUUGAGUGUUCUUGUGGGACCCAUUGACUACCCAUCUCCAAUGCCAGUCUUUUCAAACAUCAGAAUCACGUGUACCAGAAUCACUAUGAGUGACCAGUGUGAUAACCUCUUGGAGCCGGUGCAUCUCUCAGGGGUUCAGAUGAGGAGUGACCCGUGCAGCAUCCUGCUCACUAGAUACCUUCGCUUCUUGAGAGCUCGUUUCAAGAAUCUUCUAACUUCUAGUGAGGAGCUGACUCUGAACAUAAAUUAGUGUUCCAUUUCAUCAAACACCUUCCUCUAGAACAUGGCUGAUCAUUUAGUGUGUGAUUUUAGGACAUCGGUAAACAUUCCUUCUUCUUUUGAUAAACAAAAAAUAGAUUUUUCCUUCCAUCCAAACAAGAACAAUAAUUUUUUAUUGUUCUUUCCAUCUCUAGACCCGUAGCUAGAAUGAGUUUGCACAAAGUUCACUAAUUAAGAUCUACCUUAACAUAAGUACAGAAUUCACCCUGAUUGGUGGAAUUGUUUCCCAUUAAUUGCAGGGCCUCUCAUCCUUAUGGAAUAUGUUAAUUAACGUGCUUGGCCUUACAGUAGCGAUUGUCGCUCGGAUCCAGGUGCUGCCGCUCGCAGGGCUCUUUCUCCUUGACUCUGUUGCCUACACUUCACAGUCAACAAUGCGACUCAUUCUUGUUUUAACUCACCACAAGCUGAACCCCAAAAGAUGCUUAGAGUUCUCUAGGACACGGUUGUCACAGCUACACGUUUGAGCCAUCGGCAAGGGGGGAUGGAGUCAAGUGACCCCGCAGAUAUUCCCUGGUGUUAGUAGUCAAGAAGAGUAUACAUGACAUAAACUGGUAUGAAUGAUCUGUGAGGUUGGUCACAAUAGGGUUCAGUAUCAAAGUCCUGAGUCCCAUUUUGAGGAACUCACAAGUUAUUGUGGAAACUCAUGAGGUAUACUGUAGACCAACGCGGGGCCUGAUACAUAGUAGGUCUAGUAAAUAUAGCCCUAUUAAAAAUAUAAAGCUUCUAUAGCAAAUGAUUCUUAUUUAUUGUAUAUAACCCAAUAGCGAGUUAAUGUCAAACUCUGAAAUUCCAAGAAAAAUGCUGAUGGAACUUUUUAAUACUUGCAGAAACACUGCAUUUGUACAUAGUUCUCACAUGACCAGAUAACAAAAGUUCUAGGAAAACAGUAUGUACGAUAUAAGGCAUAUGUCCUCGGACGAAGAAUCCCCAUCUAGCUUGGGUACAUUUAAGCUUUUCUCCUCAGUUGCACCUACUGGAAAGAGUGCUGCUUAGAUUCGAAUUUGACUGCUAAUCUUCACACAUAUGGCAAAUGUGGACUACUCAGACCACAGCUAUUUUGCUACAUUCCACGGUGUCUCAUUUAUUUGUUUGAUUUGCAGCUAUAGCAACCAGAUUCCACCAUGGUUGGCUUUUACACAGCCCCACACUGCGAUCAGUUUGGUGGACGCUUGGCACCCAGCACCAGAUUCAAUUGAAGACAUAUGCACAAGAUUCCCUUACCACAUUUUAAAAAAUGCUUUUCACACUGGGUUAGACCUGUGCUGUUUGUCUAAAACACCAAAAGCAAACUUCUGCAGGUCAAGCUGGCAGUUACCGAUGCUGCAACGUUCUUCGCAGUAACAUCUCAAAUCUUUGACUCUUUUCUUGCCGCACUUUUCAAGCACCCACCUGACUUUGAAGCAGGCUGCUUGCCUCGCGCCGAAAGCUCGCCCCUGUGAGACUAAAGUGUGGCUCUGGUGCCGUGCCACUGCUGUGCCUUCCACACACUUCUGCACAAGAAGAGUGGUUGGGAGUGACCUUGAAAUGGAGUUUUGCCAAAUCAGUGAAAUACUGGACGUCAAGAAGUACCAUUUCCCCAGGGAUUUAGAGAGUACGUGUGGUGGUGUCAGGAGUAGAGCUCUGAAUUAGGCAUUAGCAUCCCUGUAGAUUGAUGUUCCCUCCUGUCCUUAGAAGCCGCACACUGAAAAAUGUUGGAAAAAAUGAGGUAAUGAGGAAAAUUGAUAUCUCACUAUUGUUUCCCUUAGGCGAGUCUCCUCCCCGCCCCUGUCUCCCCACCACUUGCUGGGGGAAACAGAGAGGCUGUAAAAAUAUUUUUUAAUGGGUCGAUGGGAACUAAAAAGGAGACGAAGAUGCAAUUAGUGGGGAUAUGGCAAGCGGGAAGAGAUAUCUCUCCCUUCCGUUGUAAGCUGCCUGUGGGUGGGAUUUUGAUCCAUCAGAUUUGGGCUCCAGGAAGGGAGUAUUUUCCCUCUUGGUGUGUUUGCCUACUAAGUAAACCCUGUUGCUACUGAAACACGUUAGCUGACGGUGGCAGCCGUUCCUAGCCCAUCCUUUUCAACAUUACCAAGUGUUGUCUGUGGUAAAACAUGAGCUCCUUGACUGCACUUCUCAUCCUGGCAGGCAGGCUGACCCCCGAGGAUCUGGAUUAAAGGCAGGUCCUGCUUGAACCUCGUUUAGAAGUCCCAGCUCAUCAGACUGCAGAUUCCUCUUCUGCCCCCACUCUGCUUCCUGGGAUCUUGCUUGUACAACCUGUAGUAAGGCCAAGGUGAUCUGAAGUCUGGCUUAGGCAUGACAGAAGGGUAGGGGCACCCCGGAGACAGGUGGAUCUUCUCUUACAGCAGCACUCACUUUUGUACAAAAUAAGAUCAUGCAUUUUUCAAUAAAGAAUAACAAAACCAUGCACCACUAUUUUAGAACUCUGAGAAGGGUAAGGUCACUUGAACUUUGGCAACUAUAGAAGUCUUUCAUGACACUGUCCUGGUAAGUGUACCUCAGUGUAACAAAGGGAGCAUAUGUCAGACAAGCUCUCCUAGAUAUCCUUUGAUACUUCAUCCGGGACUGUCCUUUGCAGUAAGUUAUUGGGCAUUUCUGUAAGUUUAACUGGAAUCACUAAAACAAAGGCAUCUUUCCUGAUGAGCUUAAGCCUUCUGUUGCGUCAUUUCGAGAAUCCUGUAAGUCAGGCGUGCAGCUGAGCUCAACAUCACAAUGAUGGGCCGUGGUUGUUUACAUGACUCGUCACUUCUGAGUGUGGUGGCACAAACUUGGACCCCAAGCGCUUGGGAGGUAGAGGCCCGGUGAUAAGAAACUUAAGUCCACUAUUAGCUUUAUGUCAAGUUCAGCGUCAGCAUCAGCUACAUGAAACUGUGUCUGAAAAAAGACCAAAGCAUGCAAGCAAGCAGGCAGACCGGCAAGAUCAUGCCCUUCACCCAAACAAGCAGCCAGGCAAGCAAACAACAAUGCAUUUGACCCAAACAGGCAGCAGGCAACAAGCAGGCAGAAUCCAUUUACAAAACUGCAGUCGCAAUCUUGAGGUCAGGCUACGUGAUUUUCCACUAAGUCUUACUAAUGAUCAUAUGUUAGAUUGAUUCCCACAGUUUGGAUGCUGAAAAUCAAAGUCAGGGUGCUAUCACGGUCCAAGCCCCAUAAAGGCACCCUUCUUGGUUACAGAAUCAUUACACAGUGCUCUCAAAUGCCUAAAAGGGUAAAAGCUUCCUGCAACCCUUUUAUAAGUCUGGUAAUCACUUCAUGAAUGGACUUGGCCACCUCCAAAGGCUUCGCCUGCUUGUUCUACUCUCACCUCAUGGGUUUGGCUUCCAACCUAAAAUGUUCAAGGGAACACAAAGUUUGUGCUUCUUCAGAAGAGCAUGAAAAAAAUGGAAGCAGAGUAUCACUGGAGCUUGUGAUUCUCAAGAUGGUGUCACACUUCAUAGAUCACAAAAACCAAGAGACACACCAAAAGAAGAAGGCCCAAGGAGGGAGAUUUAAUGUGGUGGUGUCUGUGCUUCGAUGUCUGAGGACCUCAGCAAUCCUAUUUUCCUUCUCCCUGUAGUGGUAUUUUUAUUGUCUCUGUAGUAAAUAUUUUAGGUAUCAUGGAAGGAGGGAGCUAAUAGUUACUUAAAGGAGGCCAAUAGUGCUUCACCUUUGAACCAUAUAUAUAUAUAUAUAUAUAUAUAUAUAUAUAUAUAUUUGAUGUGUACAUGUGUGUGUGUGUGUGUGUGUGUGUGUGUGUGUGUGUGUGUGUGUGUGUGUGUGUGUUGUGAGAAGUACAGACAUGUAGAGGACUUGCCUGGUACUCUUUAGGAGCUCACCUUGAUUUUUGAGACAGGGUCUCAUACCUCCCUUAAAGAUCACAAAGAAGGCUAGGGUGGCAGGCACCAGGAACACACUAGUCUCUUCUUUUCCAGCACUAGGAUUACAAACAUGCACCUCUGAGGUGUCCUCCCUUUCUCCUCUUCCUAUUCCUCCUGCCCUCCUCCCCUCUUGCCCUCCUCCUCAUGUGUUCUAGAGAAUGGACGGAGAUCUCCAUGCCUUCAACACCAGCACUUUCCCAAUGCAGCCAUUGGUAGGCCGUCAUCUCAUUGAAAGACUUCUUUCCACGUCUUUACACAGGUCCCAGUUGAAGAGGGGGCCUCCUUACCAAAGCUCCAGGUCAAGAUUUUAUGAACCCUAUAAUAACACAAUGACUUUUGUCCUCUGCUUUUAAGGCUGAGGUCUCCUGCACCUGUCAGAAGUGCUGGAGGGUUAACCAAUGUGGGGUACUACUUAACUACCAGACAUUUUCCAUCGGUUAUACUAAUGAGAUGGUUAAAGGAAAUACAAUCUGUAUAGAUUCCCAUUCCCUUUAGAAGCCAGGUCCACUGUUAACAAUCCGCACGGCACUUUCUCUUUUAGAACUUGUGUCACUGCAGCAUUCAUAGUGGCCAACCCUGGUUGGCCCAGGGAUCAUCGUCAUAAGAUCUGAUGGAUUCAGACUGGGAAAGAGCAGCAUACCACAUGUACUUUCUCAAUGCUUCCUCCUUUACGUGACUUUUGGAGCAUGUUUGGGGACCUUUGAAUUUAUUUGCCUCUGUAGCAUUUUUGAAGGUCAAGGAAAAGAGACUCAUUGAUGGAAACAAGAAGGUAAGCCAUCUUGGUGACACCUGGGGCUAAACUGAAUGGUAGUGGUAGCAAAGAGACAAAUGGGUGUGUUGGAACACCCGGCCACACUCAGCUCUAGUAGGAUGGUUAACAGAAUGGGGCUUCUUUACCUUGGUUUCUAUGGGACUAAUGUAUUGGCACCCUUUCUAGACUGCAUGAAAGAUGAAUUAAUAUUACCACUUACUAAAGAUUAAAAGUAUACUCUGUGUGUCAAUUGCUAUUAAUCCUUGAAAAUAUUUAUGGAGUUCAAUGGUCUGUAACUAAUUAGAGACUGCAGUUAACAGGGGAUAUGGGUUUCCUCAGAGUUACAUGAAACGAAAUGUAAAUCUUUUAUAUAACUCUAUUUCCCCUGGAAAGGUUUUUUUUUUUUAACUUGUCAGAGGGAUUUUUAAAGUUUUAUUUUAUUUUCUUGGAUCCCACUGCUUUUCCAUAAAUCCUAUAAGCAGAAUUACAAUGAAGUGAGUCACAGUCUUAACACUUCUUUUGGAGUUUCUCCUGCCAGUGCAGCUUAGACUGGAGGAGACUUUUGAGAAAAGUAAGCUUGGGAAAGCAUGGGUGGGAGGAGAAGUGAAGGAGAGGUGCGAAUGAGGACAGGGAGGGAGGGAGGAAGGGGGAAGGGAGAAGAAAGGAGGGGGAAGGAAGGAAGACAGGUUGCUUUAGAUCACAUUUGCUUGUAAGCUAUACGGCAGUAUAAAGGUGCAGUUUGCUUGUUCCCUUAGUAAUGUGUGUUAGGCAAGCCUCAGAGUUGUUUUUAUGAGCGAGUAAUUGUAAUUCAAAAUACAAAGUUUUCCCCGCAAAACUUUUGUUACGUAAGUGUUGAUUAAUUCUCAAGGCUAGCUUAUACAUUCCUUCUAUUCUGUCUGAAGGUGCAUUGUUUGGGCAUUGGCACUGCUAAACACUAGACGGCACAGUUGAAAUGUGGUAGACAUGUGGAAUAGCAAGCAAUAAACCAGCUGUUGGAGUCCCCAGAAGUUUUCACCUUGAACGCUGGCAGUGGAGGGGAAACAGAUGUGACCCGAGGCAUGGGAGGGUGUUCAGAUGCCUCGUGUGGUUGUUUGCAAGUGUCAAUCUAGGGAGCAGCUGUGCAUGGCCACUAAAAGUGGCCACUCCAGUGGGCCCUCGAAAACCACGUUCCAUUUCUUCCCACUAAAAUCUUGACGGGACAGAUGCCGUCUGCUACAUGGUACUUUGGCAUUCACGCAAACAGACCAAGUGGCCUGACAAAUACAGAGCUGGAUGCUCGCAGCCAACCACUGAGCUAAGAACGGGGUCCCCAGUGGAGGAGUUAGAGAAAGGACUGAAGGAGCUGAUGGGCAACCCCAUAAAAACAACAAUACCAACCAACCAGACCCCCCUCCCCCAGAGCUCCCAGGACAAACCACCAUCCCAAGAGAACACAGAGAUGGACCUAUGGCUCCAUCCACAUAUGAGGCAGAGGGUGGCCUUGUGGGCCAUCAAUGGGAGGAGAGGCCUUGGUCCUAUCAAGGCUCCAUGCCUCAGUGUAGGGGAAUGUCAGGAGGGGGCUGGUGGUGGGAAGAAGUGGGUGGGUGGGUGAGGGAGCACCCCCAUGAAAGCAGGAGGAGAGGGGAUGGGAUAGUGGGUUUCUGGAGGAGAAACCAGGAAAGGGGAUAACAUUUAAAAUGUAAAUAAAAAAACCUAAUAAAAGAGAAAAAUGAGAAAUCCUCCCUGUGAAGCUUUUGCUUGGUUGGGGGAAGGGAAGUGCAAUCACAUCAUGAUGAUGAUGAUUCCUUCAUCUUUGGAGAAACUUAUUGGAAGAAUAUUAAAAAUUCAUAUCAAUCUACAAGGAGUUAUGACAACACAUACCAGAUUCAUCUGAUGAGUGAGGACCUGCUAUGAAUAAAGUUCUCUACUCUAUGUGGACAAUCCCAGGUCCUUCUCAUGAUCAGCACCCUAAAGCUUUCCUGACACCAGGCUACCACAGAGCCGAGUGACACGGAAACACAUUUGUUUCUCCUGGUCCUGCUGAAAGGGUUGACGCUUUUCUGUGAGCAGUACUGUGGAAGAUCAGUAGCAAGUGGGUAUUUCUUAGUUCGGAUUUUAUUGCUGUGAAGAGACGCCAUGACCACUGCAACUCUUACGAAGGCAAGCGUUUAACUGGGGAUGGCUAACAUUUCAGAGGUUUAGUCCAUCGUGGGAAGUUCGGCAGCGUGCAGGCAGACAUGGUGCUGGAGAAGGAGCCGAGAGUUCUAUAUCUUGAUCUAAAGGCAGCAGAAGGAGACUGUGUGCCACACUGGGCAUAGCUUGAGCAUAUGUGACCUCAAAGUCCUCCUCCAUAGUGACGUAUUUUCUCCAACAGGCCCACACCACUUAAAAUUACCACUCACUGCAGGCCAAGCAUUCAACCACGUAAGUCUGUGGUGGUCAUACCUAGUCAGACCGUUACAGGGUGCCACUCAGAGAAUAAGGAGAGGUUGUGAGAGCCUCGCCCAUUAUGAGUGUAGUACCCUUAUGCCUGAGGCUCUUCUGGGUGCCGAUUUUGUUCCUUUUAAGAAGAACGAAAAAGGAACAUUGCAAAGAGGGAGGAGUGAUGUUGGGAAUCUUGAGUGAUAAGAUGAUUUGAAGAGCAAUUUCUAUUUAUGCUGGGUAUAACUGAAAGAAGCGAGGAAGUCGGGGGGACAUAGAAACAUGGUUAGAAAAAUCGACAGAAGCUCUGAUACGCAAGAGCCCUGUGCACCAAAAAUUGGUUUAGGGUUUAUCUCUCAAGAGAUUAGAGGCUGGGGUGUCUGCCUGCUGUGGAGAGAAAAGAUAAGAAAGGGAAGAUGACUAUAUGUGACAAGCGGCGUGUGCUGUCGAGUGCGAUCUUCCUGAAGCUGAGCUGUGGAGAAGGGAGGCACUAGGGUCACCCAGGGCAGCCGUGUCCCGGUUAGAAAGAUGCAGAGUCGUCCUCCCAGCUGAGGAGGGUGUGGGGAGGUUUUUGAGUAAGUGGAAGAUGGUUCAGACCAUCUUUUCCCAAGACCUCUCUCUCUAGGCUGGAAGGGGAAGAACUGAAGAAGGCAGGCGAGAUCUGAGGAGGGAAAGGGCUAGGAAUGGAGCCUUGGGUGCUGCCUGCACUGUGGUUGGUGGGAGAGGAGGUGGUGAAGAGAAACUCAGAAGGAAGGAACCUUUGCAGGGACUGAGGACUGUCUUGGGGAGACGGUCUGUGCAAUGCCAAGAAAGGGAGCGUUUCCAGAAAACAUGAGGCACGAGCUUCCGAGGCUGCAAAGGUGUAGCACCCUGCACAGCUGCUGAACCGAGUUCAGUGACUACGAAGGAAGGAGCCAGCACAGCAGAGACCUAGACCAAAAACAAUGAAAAAAGACUCAUCAGUGUAAUGUGCAAGCACGAAUGCACACACAGGCGUGUGUGUGUGUGUGUGUGUGUGUGUGUGUGUGUGUGUAAAGCUGACCAAACAUGGAUUCACUUAACCCAGAAAGAAGGGUACACAAGGCAACAGUGUUCGAGGGCUGAAUAUUUGUCCCUGUAACCUCCUGGUGGAUAGCCAUUCUUCUCCUUGCAAAAAGGAGCUAUGUCCAGCGUGUGUCUUUACUUAGCAGAGUCAGAAUUUCUUCCAUCUACAAUCAAAAUGGUCUUUGGUGCUCUUCUGACUUCAUUAAAAAAGAACGAAUGUGUGUGCCUGUCUUAAUUAGGGAUUCUGUUGCUGUGAUGGGACACUGUGACCAAAACCAGGUUGGAGAGGACGGGGCUUGUUUGGUUUACACUUCCACAUCACUGUUCCUCCUAAAGGAAGCCAGGGCAGGGACUCAAGCAGGACAGAGCCCUAGGCAGGAGCUGAUGCAGAAUCUACACAGGAAUGCAGCUCACUGGCUUGUUCCUCCUAGCAUGCCCCGCCUGCUUUCUCACAGAUCCCAAGACCACGGACCCUGGCCGGCACCACCCACAAUGGGCUGGGUUCUUCUCCAUCAAUCACCAAUUUUAAAAGUUCCCUACAGGUUUCCUGGUAGCAAGAUCAUAUGGGAGCAUUUCACAAUUGAGGUUCUCUUCUCUGUGGUGUCUCUAGCUUGUGUCUAGUUGAUAUAAAACCAGUUGGCAUAGUACCUGUGUGUGUGUGUGUGUGUGUGUGUGUGUGUGUGUGUGUGUGUGUGUACUAAAGGACAACCUCAGGUGACAGUCUCUGGAAUGCCAUCCACUUCCUUUGAGACAGGGUUUCUUAUUGAUCUGGGGUUCGCCAGUUAGGCUCGGACUUUGCCUGUCUCUGUCACUUUAGUGCUAGUAUUACAAGCAUGAUCCACCGUCUACCACACAUGGCAUUUUAACUUAAGUUGUAGAAAUGGAACUCAAGUCCUCAUGCUUGCAAGGCAAAUGCUUUACCAGCUGAACCGAGUCCUCCUGGUCUUUGUAUUUCUUAAUGUCAUACUGUAUACUUUCCCUCUUUGUAUUAAUAUCUAAAUAUUAAUUUAUGUAAAAGAAGAAACUACAGAAGAGCUUGCAGAAAACACUAAAAAUCAAUUAUUGAAGUUGGGUGUCAUGGUGUACACCUAUCUGGAAACUGAGGCAGGAAGAUCAGAAAUUUAAAGACACACACACACACACACACACACACACACACACACACACACACACACGUGCACAUGCAAAACCUCAAAGCAAUAAAAGCAAUUUUUUGUAGGGGAAUGUGAGUAGAAAGUUUCAAAUAAUCCUCCUUGUAUAUUCUUGUAUUCAGCAUAUCAGAAGUAACAAAAAUAAAAACAAAGACCAAAAAGUACACACAUGACUUGGUAAAUGAGAUGGCUCUGUGCCCUCCUUUGACGUUUUCGAUUCUUAGGAACUUUCGGACAUUUCUAAUUGUGUGCUGUUAGAGAUAGUCUGCUUGUUCAUGUGCAGACUCGGAAAGUGGGAACACAAAACAGAACUCAGUUUGGAGAAACACUUCUCUGACCAGGCGUUCUGUACUGACCCUGUGCGAAAGGGUCCAGGUUUUUGCUGCUCUUCAGGGUACAUGUAGGAACCACAAGGCCCAGUGUGGAGCUCAUGGCAGGAUGUCACAGUGGGCUAAGCAUGUAGAUGAGCCAUACAUGUUUCAUGCCUCUUUCUCCCAAUUUCUCCGAUCCUGCUGGCAAUUAAAAGGGGAAGAAAGGAAAAAAAAAACCUUCAGGAUCGUAGAAUGUUAUUGAGUUUGUGGCAGUUGUUAUGGUUACCUGCAUAGCUUCAUUGCUAUACUGAUGUGUAAUUCCCUUCAUUUCUGGAAAUGCCAUCAUCGUGAAACAAUAUUCCGCAGACUCUUAGCAAGUCUCUCCAGUGUGGCUCGGAGACUCUGACAACAGCCGUGAUGAAUGCGUGUGGUUUCUGGGUCACCUGCGUGCUGCAAGCCCAGUAACUAGGACACCACGGUUUAGCCAAAGACAAUUUGAAGUUAAUAACUCUUAAAAGUUCAAGUGUUCUCCAAAAAAAAAAGCACUUCCAUUUUCACUUAGGAAAACUAUUAAACAAUUGUAAGUUAUACGUGUUAAUUUUUCUUACAAGAGAACCAUUUUAAAGCAGUAAUGUACUACUUGAAAAGUUACUUUGGAGUUCAGGACUUUUCGUUUGUUUUUCCUAACCAGUUCUUUACACCAAUAAAUUUAUUUAAUGAAUUUACUUCUUGUGUUGUAAAAAGGAGUAAAUAAUUAGUUAUUUUAUGCAUGUACACACACACACACACACACACACACACACACACACACACACACACACAUUAUAUGUAUAUCUGGUACCCAUGGAGGCCAGAAAUGGGGGUCAGAUCACCUGGAACUAAAGUUAAGGAUUAUUAUAAACCACAUAGUUACUAGGAACCAAACCUAGGUUCUCUGCAAGAAUAAAAAUUGCUUGUAAUUGCCAGGCCACUUGUCCAACCCCAUAAAAGAGAUGUUUGAAAAAGAUACUGUUAGGCCUUUCUGAGCAAGUUUGUCUAAGUCUCCUCUCCUCCUGCUGCAGUUGACGCUUCCCAGUGCAGUUCACUGAACUGUUUUCGUGCUCACUGCUUACUGAGGCACAGGUUGCUAAUGGAUCUCCAAGUCCUCCUCUUCUUUUCCUGGCGAUUAGGCCAACUCCAUUUUUCAGCUGUUAGGUGUAACUAUGUGACUCACAGGACUCUGGGAUGGGAUUGGGUAUUACUUAAGUGUUCUGGAUCCAUGGGUUGUCCAGCCCUAAUUCAGCAAGCGCUCACUGAACGCAUUUGAACAGCAUGCAUCUACACUGACCUUGUUCAGACUUUCUCCUGUUGUGUUUGUCUGUCAGUAACCAGAGGGAAUUUCAAGUACAAAGGAACGGAUGCAUGGGUUCUGUACAAGCACCGUGUUAUUUCAUGUGAGGGACUAAAGCCUCUUCGACUUUACUCUUACAGGAUCUUGGAACCAGCCCCCAAGUAAUGACUGUAAUCCUUGCUGGUCUAAACAGUAAGAGUUUCCCACUUAGUUGCCCCCAGCCUCAUUUCCAAAUUAUGAGGGUUGCGUAAUUACAUCAGUUUCUGUGAUGCGAAUGAAGGCACCGCUGAUAGGUGUCAAUUUAAAUGGGUCGUAUUUCUUAGGAGAAGUCCUAAGGUUUUUGUCCAUAAGUAUUUCCUAUGCUACUUUCACUGUUUUUUUAAAAAAGAAACCAGCUUUGUAAUUUUCAGGGUCUCCUAAUCACUGUUCAGUGAUGAACCUUCUCAGUAGAGUCUCUCAGUGCCAGAUACUGUAAACCUCUGUGACUUAGGUGCACUUGGGAACCAAAGGGAGGGAAAGUUGCCUUUUCUAGAUACUCCUGUGUAUAUAUCACCAAGUAGUGUGCUCAUUUUUAUAGUACAAACAGCCUUGUUUAUUCUCCAUAAUCAAUAUCUUAAGGAAGUCUACUAUUUUCUAGACUUGUGAAAUGUCUUAUAGGAUAUAAGCAUACAUGUAUGUAUGUAUGCAUGUGUAUGUGUGUAUGUAUGUAUAUUUGUAGAAGUCUCCAAGGCAGUUCAAACAAAUUAUAUCUGAACCAAAGCCUAGCCACCUUCCACUGUCAUGCUUUUGUUGUAUCCACUCAGAGUCAGCUGUCGGCAUCCCCAAGGGACAGAAUGACAGCUUGUAGGAUGGGCACGUAUGGCAAGGUUGAUUAUCUAUGAUGGUGGGAACAGAAACUCUCUCACAACCAUCGGAACAGGAUUCUCCUACUAUUGCCGAGUAUUAGUUUCUCUCUUAGUUCAGCUAUCAGAACAACAGUUGAAACAGACUUCGAAUGACAGGAGUUUAAAAUGGAUGGUCGGAAGGAAGGCUGGUAGCCAUGUUUUCUCAUGAGGCUCCAGGGCCAGGCUCUCAUCCGACUGUCGUUGGAUCCUCUGGGUUUUCUCUUCAUCUGUAUGCAAGCUGUUUGUAGGGAGCACACGGAAGAAGAAAGCAUCCCAAAUCACACAUCAUCUAUGCUCCCCAGAGUUGCGUGGUUCCACAGGCACGGCAGAGUGGAGGAGUCUAGGAAGGAGCGUUCUUAAGUGCCAGUAGUUUUACCUCAUAAAGGAAGGGAAUGAGAGCCAAUGUGGGGCACUGACAGUCCUUGACACAUCCUUCCUUCCAACUCCUUGAUGGAAGUGCUAACAAGAAAGAUCCGGAACACGUGCCAGAGAAUGUAAAAGGAAGGAAAGAAGUCACAGAGACAAAAGACUAAACGGGGGGCGUGUCAUUGACUUAAGCUGCGCGCCAGGAAGAAAGCUGUUCUUUCUUAUUUUCCGUAUAUUUGAAACAUUCCACAAUGAAAUGUAAGUAAAUUGUGGAUCUAAGAAAUAAAAACAACCUUUGGCUCUGCUUUGGUGUUCAUAUGAGCUCAGUGAGUUCAUGUGAACUCCAGUUAAGUCCUCCUUAAAGUUUCCAGACUGUCAUUCCUUCUGAGUGAAUAUUCACACUCAUAAAUUUAUUUAUAUAUAUAUAUAUGUAUAUAUAUAUAUAUAUAUAUGUAUAUAUAUAUAUAUAUAUAUACUUGUUAACAGUUUGCUUUUGACUUAAUUAAAUAAAACCUUCAUGACUGUUCCAGGUAUAAUAAAGGGAAUGCAAAAUGAGUUGGAAGAGGCUCAUUUCAAUGAAUAAAAUCUAAUGGAGAUGAUAAAACAUUCCCUAAAUCUCACUGAAGAUGUUCUAAACCAUGAAGGAAAAGUAGGUGGUGCAGAGAAAGGUCUGGGUAGGGACCACCAAGAGGGGGGCUCCUGACCAAAGAACUUGAGCAGUCCUCUUGUUGACAGCCAGCAGAUGCAUGGAGAUUUUAUUAGGAGUACCUGGGUGUCCCAUUCAAAUACAGAGUACUAAAUAAGGAGAGGCUUUGGGAGAAUGGUGCUUGUACAGGUUCACAUGGCUGUGAGGUUCUGGUGGUGUUGGGAUACACGGGGUUGAUGUGGGUGGUGGAUGGCUGAAGCUGGAGGCCGAAGCUGGGAGGCUGAUGUAGAGUUUACUACUGGAGAUUAGGGGAAAGAUUGUUUUGAAAGGCAGUUUUGUUGGCAAAUGGGAGUCCGGAUGACUGCGUCACAACGGAAAUGACGUGAUGAUUUCAGUUGACAUUAACGAUGACGUGAGUCAUGGGUAUGAGAAUCUCUGUUCUCCCCUACCUCCGCCCCAACAUGCGCACACUGAGUACUAACUCUUUGUACGUGGGUGUGCAGAUGUGCACACUUGUGCGCACAAAGGCCAGAGGAGGGUGUCACACAUCCUCACGCAUCUCUUUUUACCUUAUUCCUUUGAGGCAGGGUCUCUCCUGAAUGAAGCACUCAUUUUUGGGGGUGGGGGGGUGAGAGGGCUAGUCUGUCAACCGGCCAGCAGCUGUCCUUACCAGGACAGAUGGGCAGAGCCAUCGGGGUCUGCCAUGCUAAGCGCUGCUGUCCACUUCAGUACUUCCUGUAUCCCUUGGCUCUGCAAUUUUUAAAAACUUAACUGGCCACUCUGCCUCGGGAGUCUCUCUGGUUUUCCUCUAGAGUCUACUCUAAUUUCCCUCCUCUGCGGAAUACUCACAGGCCCAAGGCUGGGCUUUCUUCUUUUUGCCUAGUUUCCUGGAGGAUCCCUUGCUCCCCCACUGUUUCGUCUAAAUCAAUUUUUAUGUUUAUAUCCCAUUUAAACUUUGGUCCUUUGGCCCAACUUCAUGAGUCACUUGGAAAUCAAUCUCUCUCUCUCUCUCUCUCUCUCUCUCUCUCUCUCUCUCUCUCUCUCUCUCUCUCUCUCUCUCUGUUGUUGUUGAUGUAAGAUGUUCCAUCAAUAUAACUUAACAGUGGUUUUUUUUUUCAGGAAUAAAGCAAAUGCUCCCACAUCGGUUUAGUUAGACCAGGUUUCUCUUCUAGAACUCUAACCAUUGUUUCGGGGCUUUUUCCUUCAUAGUUGCCUUUUACCUUGUAUCCAGAAGGCUUUUAGUGUCAGGGACAGGCUACUUGCAGAAAAUGUGUAAAUUCCUGGUUAUUGACCUCUGAAAUCGGGUCUUACAACUCAUAAGAGAUGGGAGAGUUGGGGUUCUGUUCUGUGUGUGCCCUUUAAUAAUAAGGCAAAUUUUCGAAAGACACACACUCUUUCCCUGAGAAGGACAGCCCGACAGUCCUGUCAGCAGAAGAUUGGGGAAGAAGGAAACAUGACGUUGGACAUCCUUCCUAUCCCAGGGACGAUCGGGUAGAUCUUGGCAGAAGAAUGUGUGGUUUGGACGCUUCGGGUCCUCCUCUCCUUCGCUUUCACGUCUGGGUCUCUGAAGUUUGGCAGUUGGAGUACCAGGAUGACCAAAGUGGUUAGUGGCUUGCCUCCUGGGCUCUCAAAUGCUAAACCCAAUAAUAUGGGUGCAGGCUUCCCAAACUUUAUCAGAAGGGAAGACUGUAGCUCUCUGUGUCGAAAGGAAAGUGACAUCGAUAUCUAUCCUGUGACUUUAUGGACUAAUUUUAUGUGUAACAUUGUAACAUUUUAGACUGGAAUAUGUGUGCAACAUGGUCUUCCACCUGCCCCACUGCAUAAUCCAUGCCUUACUCAACUAUGACAAACGCUUCCAUAGUUCCCCGCGGUAGUCACAGCAGUGAAGGGAAACUUGAAAAGGGGGUGGCAUACACAUGCAUGUAUGCGACAGGGCUUGUGGUGAGCUCCACUGCGUAGCAUAUGUGAAAGCAGAGGAAAAUGGUGGGAUGGUUACUUCGGCUGCUCCUCCACACUCUUUUUCAGACAGGUCCUCUUGCUGGCACUUGCUAUUUUGGCUAGACUAGCUAGCCAGUGAGCCCUGAAGAUUGCCUCUUCCCUCUCCCAGUGCUGGAAUUAAUGGUGGGUACCUCUGUGCCUGGCUUUGACUUGGUACUAGGGAUCCGAACUCAGGUCCUCAGGCCUGUCCAGCAAGCAUUUAAUCACUCAGCCGUCUAUCUCCGUGAGUAGAACGUUAUAAUAUGCUUCCAAAGCCAGUGCUUUGUCAUCUUUCAUACUCAGAGAUAGAAUGAGCAAUUUGAGGUGACACCAGAUGGCGUGCUCCUUGACCGUGCUACAGCAGCUUUGAGACACUUGUUACUUAGAAGAAACCUUCGGGAAGGGAAUUCAGUCGAGGACGUAUGCCUAGACGGUAUAUGGCCUUUAAGGUUCUUCCUGACUUGGGAGUUCCACCAUUUCACAAUGGAGGCUGCGAACGCCAGAUUGUGAAAAGUGGGAAGUGAGAGGAACAUGGAAGCUGUAGGUAGGUAUAGGCUCCUGUGUAUGACGAUGGCCACCAUGGAGGGAGGCAGAUUUUUGGCUAUGUAUUUUCCAAGGCUAUAACGAAGACUUAAUUCAGGGGAGGGCUGAGAAGAUUUGUAACUGAACUAGGAGCCAGCAGAAAAAUGAAAGCUAGAAGUUAGGAAGUGCUCUGUUUAUCACCGUAUAACAAACGACCGUCGUCCUUCCUAUGGAAGGGGAUGCGUGCACAGUGCCAUAAUAGAUGCUUGAGCCACGGAGAAUAAUUAUACGUGAGUGUAUCAUAUCUUUCCUAUGUAUUCAUAUCCCCAUGCAGUUUUAUUUUAUAGAUCAGGCACUGUAAGGAAUUAAAAACUAAAACAGCGAUCAUGUUCUGUAAUAAAAAUCUCGUGAAUACGGUCUCUCGCAGAAUACUUUUUUUUUAAUACUCUCCUUGGUCGUCUUAUAAUGAUAGCGAGAGCAUGUACCAUUUUCACAUCAGAAGACUGAUUUGGCUAAAUGACAUGCUCGGGAUGACAGACAUGCUGUUUGAAAGCUGUGAGUUAUUUUUUUUCUGGAAUUUUUAAAGCUACAGACCACCAUGGACUAAAGACACUAAAACCAUGGAAGGUGAGGAGUGGAUAAGAUGAGACAGUUGUGUCCCCAUCAUCAGUCACUUUGAACAACCAUUUUCUGUACCUCAGAACUACCUACGUGUGUAAUUGUGUGGGUGGCCUCUUUUGUUAUAGACAUUAUCAACACCAGGUAAAUAUAACUAGCAUGAUCUUGUCCUUUCACUGGGAUGGCUAGAAGCCUAUGUACAGCUUUAACUCUGCACAGAUUUCCUUUAUGUGGCUUUGUGCCUCCUCUGGGUAGCUCCAUUCUUACUGACAGAUUAUAAUUCCCAGAGCUAUACGGCAAGAGAUUGGUGAAAGGCUACAGUGCUUCUGGAGACCUGCCUCAGAAUUCCAGAACACUCCUUUCACUACAGCUCGUGGCCCAUCAAGACCAGCUCAGAUUCAAGGAAAAUGCUUCUCCCAUAGUAAACUCAAAGUAAGUGCAUAGCAUUUAUUGCUAGAAGCACAGAAGGAUAUGUCUGCCUUGAAGAUGAAAAUAGUUCAGGUGGGGAUUUCAUGGUAGAGAAAAUACUAGUUGGAAGAACUGAUUCCCAGAGAGUUCAAGCCAUCCGGGACUAUCCAGGAAGAGCCUGUCCCAUGAUGAAGGCACUGCAUGCUUUCUUGCUGUCCACAGAUGUCACCUCCAGGUUGUUUCUUCAUUUUCACUGGACCCAUGUCACUGAUCCACUGGCGUGGUUCAUGGGCUUCUAUAUAAAGGUGCCGUUGCCAAACCACCCGGCUUAUGUUGUCUCUGUUCUUGGCAUACCUCAUACAGUAUGCCAGAGUCUUGGGUAGUCCAGGGUGGUGGGGCAGGCGAAGGGUGGUGUUUUUACAGCCCUGGAAAAUAAGCUGAGCUGUGGCUCGCUUCCCAGAGCUGACCAGCCAUGAGCCGAGAGGUUUCAGUAGUAAGACGUGAAAUCCGCUUUCUACAAAUUAUCCAGAUAGUCUCUUGCUCUCCUCCUCUGAAACCAAAAUUGGCCACAUACAGGGGACAGCCUACCAGGUAUUCAAAGCUUCCCUGAUGGGGUUCUGUCUCACUGCUGCUCAAUUAAAGGGACUCUCACAGCUUCAUUUGCAACCUUUUGAUGAAGACCUUUUAGAAGAGGAAUUAAUUGGAGAGGAAUGUCUGUCUGAGAUUCUGCAGCCCGUUAUCUUGACGUUCUACGUUCCAGUGGUCGAUGAGAGAUGCUCAAACACAUUACCUUUGCUCACCCCGCAUUUCUGUAGUUGAUACAAAAUACACAGACUGAAUUUGUUUCGGAACAGCCGAAUCUAGCAUGGGGCGUUUUUGCCAAAUCGGGAUCACACUUGCCUGUACAACACAGAUGUGAAUUCUUCCAGUUGUUUUAAUUUAGAAGCGUGUGUGUCUGUGGUGUCACUGAUUAAUGUAAUAUUGCAUUAAUGUACUGUUACAACACUCCGGGGCCUUCAUGAGGACUUGGAGCCAACAGCAAAGAAUUCUUGAGACUGAAGUUUUUAAUAAAAGACAGAUUGUAGGGUAAAAGUAAUUCCACUGCUGCCGCUGCUGCUAAUGGUGAUGACGGUAAGUGCUGACCGUGAACAUUUACAGAUAGCACAGCCGAGGAAUCCAUUUUGAUGGACUUGCCAACGGAAAUAUGGUUUUAACUGUUACAUAGGUUUAGUGUUCCAAAUCACUGGAUAGCAUCUGCAUGUAUUGUUCAUCUGUCUGUAGAGAAGCGAGACACCAUGGCUUCGCUUUUCCUUUCGCAGUAUACACUUGCUUCACUUGUUUGCCCAGCGGUACUAUCAGAUCCAAGAGAUCAGUGAAGGCUGACACAGCCAUGUGUGUGACGUGGCAUUAGCUGCUAAAAUUAAAACUGAGUUCCUUGCUGUCCAUUGAACAUGACUGGCGAGCAGGUCUCUACCAUCACGGGGUCCUGAUGCAAUGCUGGCAUGGAGUCUUCCUACGUCUAGUUUAAGCCAUAACCAACCCCCUCUUUGUUGUUUCUGCAGAUAGGUGUUUUGUUGUUGUUAAAGAUUUACUUAUUUAAUGUACGUGAGCACACUGUCUCUGUCUUCAGACACACCAGAAGAGGGCAUCGGAUCCCAUUACAGAUGGCUGUGAGCCACCAUGUGGGUGCUGGGAUUUGAACUCAGGACCUCUGGAAGAGCAGUCAGCGCUCUUAACCGCUGAGCCAUCUCUCCAGCCCCCUACGGAUGGUUUUUAAUUAUUAACUAUAAUAUUUCCCCAUUACCAAAUCUUAAAUAAUAUUUUAAAUCCAUUCACUGUUGACAAUUUUAAGUGAAUAAAAACAUCCUAGGUAGAGCACAGUCAACUUUAUAAAUCGGAACGGUAACAACCAGACAGCUUGCAGAGAGGAAGGGAGCCAGAUCUGCUCCGUUGAAUUCUUAGGAUUUCCCAAACUUCUAUUAGACAAGAAAGAUACAGCGAAGCCUUUGCUUCUCUACUACAACUGUACCGUAGCCUCUCAGUGCAUGAGUUCUAGAAAACAGAAUUGCUCGUCUUAAUCACCUAAAAGUUUUAAAUUGCAAAGAAAGCAAAAGAUCAAAAAAGAAAGAAAGAAAGAAAAGAAAAGAAAGGAAAAAAGAUAACUGAUUAAAAAAUUUCAGCAACAAAAGUUUAUGGAUGAACAUUGGUAUUAAUAAUUUACAGCUAGGGUUGGGGAUUUAGCUCAGUGGUAGAGCGCUUGCCUAGCAAAUGCAAGGCCCUCGGUUCGAUCCCCAGCUCCGAAAAAAAGAAAAAAAAAUUUACAGCUAGCAUAAUAAGAUCAUUAAGUUUAAGCAUGCGGAACACCAUUUUGUGGGCACUGCUAAUAAUGCUAAUAGAGGAAUUAUCUAAAUGACCUGGGUCUCUGAUGUUGGUAGCCUUCAGAAGUCUGUGGGACUGAUGUGUAGGGCUGAGAUAAAGAGGAACGUGCUGUAGUGACCUCAUAUCAUCUGCAUUUGUCUUCCCGAGACCUAUGCACAAUCAAAACAACCACAAUGUCAGCAUUGAGAGGUGUUCCUGGAGUCCCAGAAUUACGUGAGGAGCUAUUAAAGCUGAGUAGUGGGGGAGAUUCAGUUUUCUUUCCAGAUGGUGUGUGACAAGCCGUCCAUGCUCUGCAAACAGUACCAUACCCAUCUCAUCCAAGCAGCACUAAGUGGACUUAGUAGGUUUUAAAAUGAGCACAUGAAUUUGGAAGGGAAAAGUAGUGAGAGGACAGGAGAAGCGUUGGACAGGGCCAAAGUGACCAAAACCCAAUUUAUACAGGUAUGAAAUCAUUAAAUAGCUUCACUGACAAUAGAGUGUUGAGCCAAUGAGAUGGUUUGAGGGUAAAGGUGCCUGCCUCCAAAUCUAGCCAUCUAAAUUUCAUCUCCAGGACCAACAUGGUAGAUGGAAAUCUGACUACUGAAACUAUUCCUUUAAAUCCCAUACCUGAAAGAUGCGCCCUCCCAUUAUAACAAUGAAUUAUUUUUGCUUCCUGAAAGCGAGGGAAUGUUUCUCUUAUAUUCCAGCGCUUGCAUACCUUGAUACAUGUUAGUGACGUCUAUAAAUUCCACGUCAAUCAGGAUAGACAGUUAACAAUUACGGUAUUGUGAGUAGGUAUCUGAGUUGGUAGUUGUUUCUCUUUGGGGGUGCAGGGUCUGUGGUGUCAUCCAUAACAUAAGCCCAAAAGGUCUUAGGGUGGCUGCACAUCACUGUCCUACCCAGACCUGUAAGGAUUCUGCAUUGGGUGUGCUCUGAAGAAACUUGUAGAAGAUGCCACUCCCUUUCAGCCUUCUCUUUUGUGAUUUUUUUUCUUUUUCUUUCUUUCUUUUUUUUUUUUUUUGUUCUUUUUUUUCGGAGCUGGGGACCGAACCCAGGGCCUUGCGCUUCCUAGGUAAGCGCUCUACCACUGAGCUAAAUCCCCAGUCCCUUUCUUUUUCUUUCUUUGCUCCAGAGAUUUCAUUGCAUGAACUUUCUUUUCUUUAAAACCACCAUAGAAUACCUUCCACAUCCUAAUUAUACACCCAUCUUGUGUUUUUCUGCUGUUUGUAUUCCCAUAGUUGCAAAUAAAAAGUAUAUUUUUAGUCCUAGCAUUUUCCUUUCCAUUAAAAAAAAAAUCCCUGAAGAUUUGUGGCACCACUGUUAUUUCUGUUAAUGGCAUUGCUUCCAUAGCAGCGAGCAGCAGCUUUGUAGGAAAGCAUGUUUACAGAAAGCAACCGUCUAAGCGAAUGGUGGUGUAGCUACAUGUAGAAAGGGUUCAGUUUAGACCUCUUGUAACACACACACACACACACACACACACACACACACGUACAAAUGUGUAUGCUUUUCAAUUGUAGUUAUACACUUGAUACAAUUGUCUAGACCCUCCUAUCUAAAGAAUAGCAUCAGGUCUUUGGGUUCUCAUAGCAGAAAAACGAAAACAGACAACUAGAAACAGGCUACACAUUCUUGUCCAUAGAAUGCAAAAUAAAUGAAAAUCAACUGGGGUUUAAUCCUGAGGGUGAAUUUAAGGACAGAUUAGAGGGAGGUUAGAGGAGCUCAUCCUAGUUUUUUAUAACUCAUUUGACUGAAUGUAGAUGUAACAUUGAUGUUCCUGUUCAUUCAGUUUGGAAGGCUUCGUCUCUCAGACUCUGAGUAGAUGGACUCGUUGCUCUAAUUCCCUAUCUUCUUCAUUCUAUGGCAAAGGGAAAGUGCCCAUGUGUCUAAUUUAGCCAAACUCAGGACAAAAGGAAAGGAGGACAGUGUUAAGAAAGCAUGCUAAGGUGGCGGCUAAGAGGGUGGCUGCUUCUGCUGCAGCUGCUGCUGCUGCGGCGGCCUCCAUCCAUGGAUGUUCCCCUAUGCCUUGGGAACAUCUCCUCCGAGAAAUGAAUUCCUACAUCUUCUGAUGGACGCAGUCCACAGCUCAUCACACAGGUAAAACCGAACGAGGAAGUCAAUUUAUUCUUUCUAUAGUAUUUUCAAGCAACACUCAUCGUGAAGUCAUCAGAUGUAGCAACUUCCACCCACCGCACUCAGAGGCCCCCGUGAGAAGCACUGGCAGCAGAAGGGACGGGCAGCUGAGCUCCUCCAGUUGCAUGGGGAACACAGCCAGGAAUCCACCGUGAAAUGGAUGGCUGCAGAUACCCAAAACGGGGUGACGCAUGCGCUCACAACUGUUGUAUAGUCAAGAGCAGGAAGGGUCAGUGCCACUGGGUCUGCUAGCCUGUCAAGGCUCAAUCCUGAGGAGAGUUUUGAGGAGCAGAAGGCUGUAACCGAGGGAGAGCAGAAGGAUGCUUCAACUUCAUCCGGCAAAACAGCGACGUCAUGAAAUCAGCGCAGCGACGUCAUGAAAUCAGCGCAGCGACGUCAUGAAACAGCGACGUCAUGAUAUCAAGUCUCCACUGCCAAAGAUAAAAAUUAAACUCUCCCCUUCAUGUUCAUCAGGGGAGCCCUACGAAAACAGUCAGAGCUUAUAAUUUACCUCUCAGAUGCCUUUCUGAAGUAUUUUAGUUUCCCCAGCUAUUUUCAAAUUCAGUCUUCUUUUCUGGAAAAUGAUCUCCUCUGAUGUGUGUGUGUGUGUGUGUGUGUGUGUGUGUGUGUGUGUGUGUGUGUGUGUGAGAGAGAGAGAGAGAGAGAGAGAGAGAGAGAGAGAGAGAGAGAGCACAAACCAACACCACCAACACCAACCAUCUCCAUUUAUAAUUCAGGCAGAUUGCUGAGGUGAACAGAAAUCAGGGUGGGGUGCUCUCAGGGAAGCAGCAUGCCACUCCAACAGUUCUCUGAUUGGCUCUCUCUCUCUCUCUCCAGCCUGUUCACUAGUUUCUCUGGUCCUUCGCCUCAGAUCAGGGGAUGCGGUGCCUUGCUCUGCUCACUUCGGAACCAUACACACUGGGAACUGAGCUCAGAGUACCUGAGUGCCCAACCCCUGCUUCUUCAUCCCAUCCUUUAAAUAAUUAUGCACAGGAAUCGAAUGAAUUGUUAGCUAACCCACUUCCCUCCCUGGGGCUUCCGCAAAUGCACAUAAAGGAAAUAAACAAAUGAAAAGAAAAUUAGUGAAGGGCCUUGACAAAAAGGAGGAGGAGAUGAAAGUUUUAGAGAAUAUCAAUUAUAAAACAAUUAAAAAGGAAAACUUCCGCAGUGCUUGAAAGAACCUUGCGAUGGCUAGGCCUGUAAAACAGUAGAAUGAAGUGGUUUUUAUACAGGAAGAAGACUAGUGGUAUUCAACCACAGAGAGCCGGUCAAUUCACUUACAGGGUGAUUUACCAUAGUGCCAUAAAUCAAUUUUAUCAGGAGAUAGUAAAAAUGGAAUUAACCUGUACUGAUAAAUGUAAGAAGCCGAAGGAAAUUGAGACGCUCAGUGUUUCUUGUGAAGUAAAAUCCGUAUGGCAAAAACACUAUUAACAAUUUUCAGUGCUUUUUUUUUCCUUAUAAAUAUUUUAAAAAUUUAAUUUCACUUAGAUAUCAAAGAAAAAUGCACACAUUAGUAAAUUUCUCGUGGUGAAAGCUAUGGUGUUUUUUAUGUUAUUUUUCCUUCCUAAUUUGGUAGUCGGUAAAAAGAUCCCCCCUCCCCUACCUCUUUUGGAUACUAUGUAGCCCAAGUUGGCCUCAGACUCAAAUGGUCUUCCCUCAGCGGUCUGAACCUAAGGGGCGCGUAUUGGUAACUAGGGAUGUGCCCCUGUGGGACAGAUCAUUGCUUUAACCUGGUCCUUGGUUUUAGAUACUUUAAUCGCCCAAUCUCGUCCUCCACAACAGUGUGGCUCAGUGGUGGGCAGUGCAUGCAACUGUGUCCCCAGCAGAGGACAGCAAGGCUGAAAUGUUCUGUCUGUGUUUUUUUGUUUAAGUACUGAGGCUUCAUUGUCAUUUCUGUAACACAGUAUACACUUCAGCACCCGACAUGUGCCACAGGUGCUACUCGAUACAAUGUGGUUCUCUAUAAAUACUUAUUGUCUGUUGUUUGGAGAUCCAUAGCAAAAAGAAGACAUUUAUUCAUGUUUAAGCCUAACACAGUUGGGGUUUUUCCUGUAAAAUGAUAUAAAAUUGGGGUGCAAAGGCAUGUUCUCUACUGAUGGCUUUUUCUCCCAGUCCCCCACAGUUUUCAUCUUUGCUGUAUUGAACUAGUGUAGGAACCCAAGGUAAGGAUUUUACUGUCUACUCUGGAGAAAAGACAGAAACAAUGGGCCAAUAACGGGCAGGGCUUUAAGUGCGUUGACUGUGUAUCACAUAACAUAAUAAAUGCGGGAUAGUUUUAACUGAAACUGAGCUUAAGGAUCGAAGGGCAUCUGGAAAGAUUUUUUUUCCUGAGGUAAAAAUUAUAAAAAUAACGCCAAAUUAAAAUACUGUAAAUUUCUGUUGACUAGAGACUUUAACAAAGGCAUUGAGGAUCCAUGGGGCUCCAGGUGCAAAGAAUUAGAGGUGGGCUAUAAGCAGAUAGAGAGUUGAAAGGAUAGAGAGAUAGAUCUUUUAUGAGUGUUCGAAUAGGUGCCACAGCACCAAACAAAAGAAUAAUAAAAUAUAGGCCUGAUUUUUUUUUCCUACGAAGAGACUUUGCCAAAGCCUAAUAAAACGCUCUUGAUAUCGUGCCUCAGAAAGCAGCAGAAGGGAAAUGCUUCAGUGUUUUCCUAUACUAAUGCCACUAGGAUAUGCGGCUGCCAAAGCAUGCAAGCGGGGCUGGCUGCCUUGGAUUUAUGGGUGACAGGUUGAGUCUGGAAUGUUCAUUGCCCUUGACAUGCCUCAGGAAGAGCCCUGGGCUCGGACUCAGGAGAGCUCAAUGCAAGUUCUGUUCCACCACCCACUGCCCAUGAGCGUAGAAGCAAACCAUUCCAGGGUUCUGAUGCCCAGUUCACUCUGUCUGUGGGAUGGGACUUCUCAGGAUAACCGUUCCGGUUAGGUAAGUACUGGGUCUUACUAUCAGUUAUCUCUUUACUUAGCUGUUUGGUGAACAGAUCCCACACAGCAACAUACAGUCCCACUUUACGUAAGCGGGCAGAAUGCGUGACGGAGGUAAAGAGAAACCAUCUUCCCUGUCUUCCCACCUGAUCUUGCCCCUCAACCCCCUCCACUGACCAGAAUGAUGGUUCUGUAACGUUAAUUAGUCAUGUCUAGUCAUGAUAGCCGUGCUCAGUAAUACCCAGACUCAAUUCAAGGCCUUCAUGCUGAGUUUGCUUCCGUUCAGGGAGCGCUCUCUGCUCAUCUCAGACUGACCCCCCCUGCCCUCCAUCCCAUACCACGGCGUCUGGGAUCCAUAUACUCACACUUUCAUCUCUUCCGGCCGCUUCCUGAUAUUAAAAUGGGAUUCCUUUCUUCAUUACGGCAUAAUCUCCACCCAACUGUUCCUUUAGCAUUUAACUGGUCUUACACCUUUCUUAUGUGUUUUCUCUGUUGGAUCAGUGAACUUUAUUGCCCUGUCUCCACACACAUGGCCAUUACGUAUUUACAGCUCCUGAUCCCACAUUGACUCAGGACCCCGAAGACAGAAGUUAGGGGUAACUACAGUUUAUGUCCCUCACCCUGUGCAAGGAUCAUGGUGGCCGCUCGGUAUGUCCAGUUGAAAGGUGGCUGGGGCACAGGGUGCUACUUUUUUGAUGUCUACGCACAACCGAUACACAGCAAACAGAAGCAAAUUCUUUCCAUAUGUUCUUCUCUCAAAUGGGAAGGGUAUGGGUUGCACAAACAUCCUGCUACUUGUGGCAUCACUAAGCAGAAUUUGCAACAAAGUUUGCUGCAGGUCGAACCCAACAUUUUCUCUCUCCUUUCUCCAAUACAGCGGGUCCCUAUUUUUAGCUGAGUUAUGUAGUCCCCAAGAAUAAAGCCAGCAUACAAACAAACAAACGAGCAUCUUCUCCCAUUGUAGUCAGACAAUAGGGUAUGGAAAAUAAAUACAUAAAUAAAUGGAAGUUUUAUGGACUUACCAGGAAGGUCAGUUAAUGGAGGAGCUGACUCUCAUGGAGGAAAGGACCCCCCCAACCACCUUUUUUUCCCUCUUGUGUUUGACCUGGAUUUUAGGUUUGGUGACUAGAGUCCAUGCAGCCAUUGUGACCCACAAAGUGACUGAGAGGCAGGAACCAUGAGAAAAGCAAAUGUUUUCGCCUUUGGUGGUCUUCUCUGUCCAGUGUUCCUGACCUGGAUACUUCCUUACUCUAAUAAGUUAACACUGUAAGACAACGGUUAGCCUUUCUUCCCCUGUAAAAGACCAGAUGCCAAACGGUUCAGGUUUCUCAGGCCUCACCGUCUCUAUCCUCACUCUCCACUCCAGUUAUAGAGCAGCCAUGCAUGAUGCAGAAGUGAAGGCAUGAUCUCAGGAACCAGAUUUUAGUUAAAAAGCAUAACUGCUUUUUGGUGGUCUCAUCUCUCGGGCCCUGUGGCCUUGAGCCUUUCUGAUGGACAUGUAACCUUCUCCAACUCUGAUGAAUAAGUCUUAUUUGUUGAGCGAAGCUUGGUUUAAAUUAGUGUCAGUUUUCUUGUUGUCCCCGCAAUCCCCACUCCAGUAGACUCCCCCUUUUGCCCAUUCUUCUAUACGGAGUUCAAGCUCGUUGAUUAUGAAGACUGGUGGAUCAGGUCCAGGGCUUUUCUGGGUUUCUCUGAGUUGCAUUGUGUUCAUGGAGGAUUCCUGCGGGAUAUAAAUGGGGAAGUCAUCAGGUGUGUGGGGAAGGAGAAUGAAGGACAAAAGGCAAGUCCUGGUGAGCACCGCGCUGAGAGGCUCUGAAACCUGUUUGAAUGAUGGGACAAAACUUUCAGCAGAUGACACUCCCUUACUACUCUCUUCUCUGUUGCCAGGGAGACUGUACAAGCUAAAUUGGUGUUUAGCAGCAGGGCAGGGUCCGCUCUUGGAGAUUCUUUUCAGCAAAGACUUUGUCUGAUGUUGUCGAGAUGCCUUCGGUCCUCUGGUUUGACCCAUCAGGGAAAUCAGGGCAAUGGAGAAAGAGCAGUAGCAGCAAAUGCCAGCUGACAGGGGCAGAGGACUCCACCCUGGGAUGCAGAAGGACUCUGCCAAGGUUUGCUAGCAGUGGUCAGGGCUUCCCUACCCCUGUCAUCUCCAGGUACAAGGGAACAAGUGGCCACUCCUGAUAUGGACUCAAGCAACAUUGGAGCCAGAAAGGAGGACAGCGGGGAGAGCCUCUAAUGGAGUUCAUCAUUUUACAGAUGGCUUUCUCAGUAAUAAAAGUAGCUCGUGCAGGGACGGAAGACUCACUAGCGAUAAAGCCACCAUAGUAGCCACCAGUGGCUUGUCACCAGGCAUUGCUACACACAUUGGAUUGCAGAACUUCUGGCUAUCGUGUUGGCAGUCCUUUGGGAGUUUAAGCCUUCAGACUUUGUGACAUCCUGUAACCCCAGCUUUCUGGUUGUGAUUUCAGUGAUAGUCAGUCACAGUCCGUAUCUACUCCCUGCAGUUCAGAACCAAUGGCUGACAAAGAAAUGUCCAGGAAAGGGGACGCAGGGAAACAGAAUUCUGGGGAAACCGAGUUCCGGGGAAACAGAGUUCCGGGGAAACAGAGUUCCGGGGAAACAGAAUCUGGAAUUGGUGGUGUGGGUUAGGCUGAAUGCAGAGGUCUCACCCUGGUAGCAUAAAGCAUUUAGUCGUGAAAGGCCUGGCUCAGUCCAGCCAGAGUCACCUGGCAUCCCCUGGCCGUCCACGGCCAGCGUCGGAUGACAAGUGCCACGGAAGACACAGAGCACUGUGAGGAAGAACAAGCUCGGUUCCAUCUGUGCUUGGUCCAAGGCGAAAGAGAAGGAAUCUAGGAACCAGUGCGGUUUAAGGAAGACGAUUAAAAACUGUGACCCUGGAACAAAGCGUAAACUCCCAAACUACCCAAACUCGAUCAACCCAGCGUGUUUUCUCAGGUGGCUGUCUGAGUCGCAGUCUCGUUGGAGGUAGGGGAGCAGAAUCAGCCUGAUCUCAGAAUUGGCUCUUUCCCACCUCCGGAUCCCUUUCCCUCUCUGUCUCAUCAACCGCAGGAGAAAGCAGUUGGCCCUUCUUGGUGGAGAUGCUUGUUCUUCAGUUGCCAACAGUGAACUUUGGCCUAUUACAAGGCACUUGUGCUGUGUGACUGGAUGUUUGCGCUCUCUCCAGAUGGUUGGUCUGGACCCUUUGUAGGUCUAUUUUAUUAUUAGCUUUCAGUGUGAAUCAUUUUUAGGUGUUCCUUUAGUACGUUUACAGAGGAACCCUUGUUUAUGUGAAAUUCUAAAGACCUCCAUGAGUGUGGAACAGUAAAUCUCUGAUUUGGAAACUUUCUAAGUCCCCAUCUAAAAUAAACUAGUUUAUUGAAUUAAAAAAUCAUUACUAUUAACCAGAUGCUAAAGAAAUAUAACAAAAGCACUUUUCCAUAAAAAGUUCCCAAGUGUGUUUGGGCUUUCCUUACCUCCGAUGUCUUCCUCCUCAGCUGCUGUGUGUUUUCAGUCACUCUCUUCUCGUUUUUAUUAUUACUGUCUAAAGGGUGAUAGAACCACAGCGCAUGAAGGUAAGGGAAGGGAAAUAUUACCUACUAUUCCAUCAUUGUGGCUGUCGUGCUCUGCUUCCUUCUGGAUCCUUCCGCUUGCUUUUGCUGCUAAGCAUUGUGUUAAAUUUACUGCUGCUGAUUGGCUUUUCAAAUUUAGCUCAUCACAUACAUCUUACUCUCUCCAUGUCUCCACAGAUUCCCUUCCUGUUGUUGGAUGAUACUCCAAAGAGACGAGCAUUAAAUUGUGAAUAUGAGUUAUUAGAUUAUAGAAUCCUUACUAUAUUGUGCUCCUCAUAUCCAAGCAUCUUUCAUUGAAUAGAAUUAAAAAAUUUAGAAUUUACUCAUUAUAAAA